AGAGCAGAUGUGCAUGGGACAAACAGGUAGAAGAUUAUGUAAAAUAAGCAUUACUUGCUGAAAUUGAGCAGGUAAGAGCCAUGUUUCUAUUGUUUAGAGAAUUGUUUAGAGUUUAGCAAAGAAGAAGAGGAAGAGAAAGAGGAAGAUUUACUAAUAGAGUGUAUGUAACAGAGAUAAAAUCAGUUAAGAUGAACUAUAAAAUCAGAAAACCUAUGUAAAAUGCUUACUGAUUUUUUAUAUAUAUAACAAAGUCUUCACCAGAUGCCUGAAGUUCAACAGGGAUGGGACAUGUCUGAUCUCAGCUGGGAGGGAGUUCCACAGAAUUGGGUCCACAAUACUUAACGCACAGCUCCUGCUAGAUAUGAGGCAUAUGCCUGUGCAAUGGGGGACCACUAACAGUGACCUCCCUGAAGACCUCAGCGAUUGAGCAGGGACAUAAGGGAUUAGGUCUGUGUUGUAUCCCAGACCCAUGUUGUUAAGGGCCUUGUGAAUUAAUACGUGGAAAUGAGCCUGGUAGCAUAUGAGCAGCCAGUGAUCAUCCCACCCUAGCUGUGCUUAGUAAUUAUUUUGUUUUGGCACCAUUAGUUUUUCCAUGGCCAAGAGGCACACUUUGUAACGUGCAUUAAAAUGCACAUCUCAUUGAAAACAAUGCAGUGGAGAGAGCAAGCAGCAACCAUGCUCAGAUGAACAUUCCAACAGAUAUAUAGAUGAGAGCAUCUGAUUUAUGCCCUGAGACAGUUUUACAUGUCUAGAAGCCUGCGUCCGAAUAUCUAUCUUUUGAGCCGGUUUGGGGCAGCUAUCCAGGACAAUCUGAUGCCAAAGCCCAGCCAUCCUAUAUGCCACCUAAUCAUACCAGCUUGUGUUAAGUAAAAGCAGCUUAAUCAUAAUCUUAAUCCCAGGAAUGAUUUAUGUUUGCCCAAUUAUGGCUAAGCAUAUAACGGUUAAAAGUCCCUUGCAAGAGCAAGAGCCUGCAUUUGCAAGUCAUUUUUUCCGUAUGACUGAUGAGUCUUUUCAGUUUGCCUCUGUAGUUGUGGAAUUGCCAGCAGCAAUUAGAGGUGGUGAAAAGGAUCUCUGUGCAUUGAAAAGCUUUGCCUGCUACCUUGCUUGAGUAUCAACCUAUAUAGGCCAAUUGAAAAAUUGGCAAUUCUUGGUUUGGAGUCGCCCCCGCCCGUCACUUAGAAACAGGGCUGGUUCUGCCAUCCAGCACAGUGAAGCAAAUGGCUUCAGUGGAACCAGGGGGUAGGGAGAAAUAGAUAGGGACAGGGAUUUGGUCUCUGAAUUGUGCAGCAAAGCUUUUAGAAGCCUUGUUCCACUGCAGACAACAAAAUCUUUGGAGCCAGCAUGGCCAGAAAAUAAAGUCUUUGCUUGCAAUGGGAAUGAUGCCAUUUCACAAACAUCCCUCCCCACACGGGCAAUUCUAAAACUUCUCGAACAACCUUCAAAUAAUUAUAACACACACUUCUGAAUUGCACAAAGGAUUCCAGCUGCACAACUCCAUUUAUCUUUUGGAUUUGUGCAUUUUAAUUCUCCAGUGUCAUUUAUGAAAUGCAGCAGGCUGAAGCUAGACCACCUCCUCCCCCUGCUCCACUCUUACAUGUAAUAUAGAUGCGUCCCAUCUUCUUGGGAAGCAUCGCAUUAUAUACAGCAUAAUUACAUAGUACAGAAAGAGCAAAGGAAUACAGUGAAAUGGUAAUUCCUCUCAUGACAUCCCUUUCGCCGCAAGAUAGCAACAAAAGUUCCAGUAACCCUUACAGACUAGGAAAGAACUGUGAAGGUGGACUACUGGAGGCGGCAGAUCAUAUUGCAUUGUUAUUGUUGUUUAUUAGACUUGUUAGCCAUUGCUACCCAAAGCCCUCCAAGCAACUUAAAUGCAUUUGAAAAUGUAAACAUAAAUGCAUUAUACCAUUUAAAAAAUCAUGCAAAACACCUACCAUUCAUUAGUGUGUGUAUAUACAAAAUACACACAUGAGCACAAACAUACACAAUCACCCACAGGAAUCUCUGGCAGCACGCAACAUCCAUUAAAAUAAGGACCACACAUUCCAAAAGUCUGUUACGCUCGUGAUAUAACUAGUUUCAUCAGCGUUAAAGAAGUCAGUUCAAGCUCUUGCGGUUGAUAGAUCUGUGAUUGUUUUAAAUGACAUUUGAGGAUUUUAGCAAUUUUCAGUACUACCAUGCCCCAUUAUUAACCUCUGUCAGGACAAGUAUUAUCACUAGAUCAACAGGACCAGGGAUGUCAACUUGAAUAAAAUAUUAGGGGGAGGCAAGUACGCCCUACCCCACAUAAUCAAUCCCCUAUGCACCCCCUGAAUCUGUUCCAGGGGGUUCCCCAACCCUCUGGAGCAGAUUGUGGGUGGGUGGGGUGCACGCAUAGAGGCAGGAGAGAGAAGAAAGUUCCACUGCACAAAUGUAAAUCCUUGUGCUGAUAGGAUACGUUAGUUGUAUACCGCCCAAAGUUUUUGACCUCUGUACCAUUUUGUAAAUAUGCAAGAUCAGAAGUCCACUUCUGUAUUAUAGGCAGAUGUACGGUAUACAGCUGUGCAUGCAGACAUGCAAGCAUUGUAAAAUAGAAUCCCCAGUGUGUGACUAAAGCCAUAGCAGCCCAAUUAGAUUUUGCCAAAUCAUUGUAAAAGGGAUGUUAAUAAUGGAUGUCAGCAGGUGUCAUCCCAAAUCAUUAUGCUGCCCGAGAGGGACAAGAUGAUGACCAUUCUUUGUCCAAUGCACAAAUGCUGAAUGUACUGGCAACUGAAUCUUACUUCCACACAUGAGGCGGCAGGGCAGAUGAAGCAGCCUAGGAGAGACCAUGUGGCAACAGGGCAGAAUAGUGGGGAACUUAAGAGGAACAGCUGCUGCUUCCCCUUAGCCAGGCCAGACUUUAUGAAGGCCGUUAUUAUGAAACCUUCAGGGCACUCAUACACAUCAUCAUCUAAAGAACGGCCCCAGAAGACUAUUAUGUUCAGAGCCUAAAAUUAUUCAACUGUACCAAUGUAUCUAUGCUUUCUGGCCCUGUGCAUGGUGGUUCUGACUGCAGCAACUUGUCCAUCUGGUUUUCAAAUCUUGGGGAACCUCUGGGGAUUGUAACUAAGGGGUGAUCUCACAACAAGGCGCAGAAGGUUUUUGUUUGUUUGUUAUUGUUGCUUUAUGUCAAGAGGACAUGCUGAAGAAAUAGGUGGAUUCAGAAACAUUUGCUUUCAGGGGGCAUAGGAAUGUAUUCACAUGUUGAGAAAUUUAAGGUUGGUUUUUCAAAGUAAGCCUGUGGCGUUUCUGUAGGCCAUUUGAUCAUUCCUCUAUUUUUAAUCCAUUGUUCAUUAAAAAUAUGCUACAAGUGUCAAGAUGCCUCACCUCUACUUCCUCCUUUAUCAAGCAGUAAAAAAAGAUCAGGCUGCUCCACAUUUAUUUAGGUUGGAGUUGUUCAAAUGAAUUCAAGGUACCUGCAUUCCUAGACCUUAGCUCCUUUUAAAAGAUUGGGCUCUUCUUCAAUUAUCCAGGUUGGUGUUUUCAAAUGACUUCAUGCCAUCCACAUUCCUAAGCCUCAGCUCCCAGACUUCACAGUAUUAUCAUUGACAUUAAUGCCAAGAUGCUGUAGUGGAUACAGCAGGGAUGGGAAACAUGCAUAAAGCCCUUCAGAUGUUGUGCUUCAGCUCUCAUCAGCCUCAGCCAACAUGACCAGUGGUCAUGGAUGACAGUAGCUGUACUGCAUCAUCUUCUGAAGGUCCACACAUUCUUCAUCCCUAGGAGAAAGGAAGAAUCAGCCAUGAUCCAGUCAGCCACAGACUGGCAUCAUUCUACCCAAUUGUUGAAUAAGAAUAAAAAUAACAGGAUUAUUGUGAGGAUAAUGUGGUGCAGGUCCCACAAGAUGUGAUCAAUUUUUAGCUUUCCCCCCUCAUGCCCCUUUAGUGAUCUGAAACAAAAAUGAUCCAAACAGUCACAAAACAUAUAUCGAAUGAUCAUUUAUAUUAAGCCAAAAGUCAAACAAUGAGCACUCCAACUUCCCUCUUUUUUCUUCAUGGGAAUAAUGCUUGCCAAAAUCUUCACCACGUGAAAUUUUAUUUAUUACAAUUGUUAUUUAUAUGUGUAUGUGCUAGCCUUCUGCUCGACAAUAGGCCUCCAUGGUGCAUAAAAAUAAGAUAAAAUUAAAACACAAUAAAUGUAAGCAAUAUUUAUUAGAGGAGAUGCUAAAAUGCCCCACCAAAGCAUGAGAUAUGCAAACAGCAAAUGAAUUCAAUGAUAAUAACACAACAGAAAUUAGAAAGAAGACCCUACCCAGUGUACAACCGGUAUCAGGUUUCAACGAGAGAAGCAUUUCCAUCCAUUAUCUUCUAAUGUGUCCAGCUGUCACUGACACACCCCUCCUGUUCCCACUAGAGGAGUUAGAGAAAGAUGAUGCUACCCAGUCUAUGAAUUCCCCACUAACCAUAGUUAAAUAGGAAAGGUGACAACACUGCUUUAGUCUCAAACCUGAAGCGAUGACCUCAAAGGGAUUAACCCUUUGGAGGUGGCCUGCCAGUUCUAGGCAAAUGAGAAAUGGCACUUGAGAAGUGUGCUUCUACCAGGAUGCUUCUAAUAGCACUGGAUUAUCCUAUCUCUAGUUCAUAGGUUUUCUCCUUGCCUGCAGAGCUAAACACCACCACCAUCUCUUUCUGUGUUGAUUAACAAAGGCAUUAGGAGUGAGGACAGGAAAUGACGAUAUAAAAUGAGCUCCCCCUGCCCUUAGAAGUUGCUAUUGCUAUUCUUUAACAAGUCUGCAUCAGCCAUGGAGGAAAUAGUUCCCUCUACUAGAAGUGGACUACUUAGAAACUAAGGUCAAGUAGCACUGGAUAUUUGCAGUCUUCUGGGUUCUCUUUGUCCAGAUAGCUGGACAGUCUGAAGCUCCCUGCUCUUCCUGGUACCAGUGGCCCUGGUGAUUGAUGAAAGGGAGAUGGAAUUAUGUAAAAUGUCAUUACAAAUUAAACUGAUGUGAACAUGCCCAAAGUGGCACAAGAAUGCCGUCAUUUCUGCUGGAAGUUGUGUAGAUAGCUAAUUCUGCCCCAAAGGUUCAGCAGAUCUUUGGCGAUGAGGAUAUGACAUAUUUAGUAAGCUUCCCUAAGCUUUUCCUUUUAAACACUGCAUCUGCUAACAUAAUUUCACUACUGAGAACUUUCAAGUCCGUUCUAUAUGCUUUUUUUUUUUAAAAAAAAAAAAGGUAACGUUGCCAUACAAGAAAUAUGUAAAAUAACUAAGCAAGUAAUAGACAUCACCCCAGAAUUGGCCCUACUAAACAUCUUCCAAGACAACAAUGCCCAUUUACACCACAAAGAACUCAUAACCCACCUGCUCUCAGCAGCCAGAAACACCAUAACCAGACACUGGAGAGACCUGUCAGGAGUAAGCAUGGACCAAUGGUACCAAAUAGUAUGGGAAACAGCACUACUAGAAAAAUUAACUAAUAAACUGAAACUGACACGGGGACAAACAGAAGAAGACGCCUUCACCCCGGUAUGGCUCCCUUUAUCACAUACACAGCCCAACAGGACAAUGACAAUAAUCCACCAACAGCAUACAAAUCAAUAUGGCUAACCUGAUCCAAAACACCCACCCACCUCACUCACACAUGAAAACAAAGAUCACCACAGCCAAUCACAAGCAAACAAUCACACCCUAGGCCAACCCCAACCUCUCUCACCACCAAAGGAACACAAGUGAACAACACAAGCAACGCUGACACCAAACUCUACAUACAUUAAACAUAAUAGAAACACCGCCACCCGACCCCACCCCUAUCCAUCUUCCCUCUCUCCACCCCCCCUUUCUUUUUUCUUUUUCUUUUUUCCCCUUCUCCCCCUAAUGCCUCAACAAAUGAAAUGGGUUUGUAAAAAUGUUACAUGGAAAGAAAAAAAUACGAGGCACUACACUUCUGUAAAAUAAGAAAAUCCUUAAUAAAAUAUUUUUUUAAAAAAAGGUAACGUUCAUAGACUGCAUGUUGGAAACUUAAUUUAUACAAUUUUUUGAUAUACUUACCUUGGAUUUUAUUUUAUUAUUACUUUUAAAUUAAAGAACAAGAGCUUGUCACUAAUCUGUUUUGAAUAAAUUGUAUACAGCCCGGUAUUAAAGGUACUGCAGGGGAUCAAAAUACCAUUCCCAUAUUGAACAUAUCAGAGGAAGAAAAAAAAUGUCACUUUUUCUUUUGAAACCUACAAACCUAGAGAAAAAUCAAACAAAAUAGAUGUUAGGUCUUUGAUCUCUUUCCAUGCUUAGAAUCACAGGAGAAUGGUCCUUUCGUUUUGUCUUGAAAUUAUUCACCCACUGUAACUUCAAGGCAAAGGAAUGCUCAAGAGUUUCCAUAACUUAUCAUGGCUACCUAAUUAGAAAAAAUAACCUCUCUUGCACAAGAUUUUUAGAUGAUGCCUCUAACAUUACAAAGAGGCAACAUCAUAGCCGGCAAUCCUUGCUAUUGACUUUUGCCAGACCUAACGUUGCUAUAGAGUGGCUAGCUCCAUCGUUUGUGUGUAUGUGGUGUGUGAACCUCAGAUGAAAUCUGCUAAGUAAUGAUUUACUGUGCUUUCAGCAUAUGCCUGUGUUACUGAAACAAAUUGAAGAAGCAGAGACAUGUAAUUUAUUUGUUGGAGCCAACUGAGUAAAUAGGGAAGUGUCUCAAUCGAAUGAGUGAUGCUUAGGUGUAACUAGCAUUGUAUUUAAAAAUCUAAUAUUUACCCCCUUGUGACACCUCCUUACCUCAAAUACAUGAUUACAGAUCAUACUAAGUGUCUUCUCCCAUUUACUAGGACAGGAAUAAAUAAUAUUGCUUACCAUAUCAGGAUCUUAUGUUUGUUUGUUUUUUAAUUAAAAAUUAGAAUGGUUGGCAUGCAGCGUUACUAUUAAUGUUGUCUUUUUUUGUCUACCUCUCCUUCCAGAGAACUGGUCCUGUGCCUCAUGAAAAGGGAACAGGGAUGGAAGGAGAGAGGCAAUGUUGGGUAGGAAAGAGAGAGGGGGGAGCAGUGAGGAUUCACCCCACCCUCAAUGUUCAUGCCCCCAUUCUUGAAUUUUGAAAUAAAUCUCUCCUGUUUACAUACCUCCCUGUGCCUCCCAGAAAAUUCAAGAUUUUUAAAAAACAAAUAAAAAAUUGUAAGUACAGUAGUACCUCUGGUUACGUACUUAAUUCAUUCUGGAGGUCCGUUCUUAACCUGAAACUGUUCUUAACCUGAAGCACCACUUUAGCUAAUGGGGCCUCCUGCUGCUGCCACGCCCCCGGAGCACGAUUUCUCUUCUCUUCCUGAAGUAGAGUUCUUAACCCGAGGUAAUAUUUCUGUGUUAGCAGAGUCUGUAACCUGAAGCGUAUGUAACCUGAAGCAUAUGUAACCCGAGGUACCACUGUAGUGUAAAUAUUUGCCAGGUGAACUUUUUCUUUCCAUUACUCAUUCCAAAGCAUCUGUUGGAGCAUAUUAUUAACUGCUGGUUUGUUUGCUUCCUUCCUCAUACUUAUAUCCCACCCUUCUUCCUAAUGAGAGCACGGAGUGGUUUACAAUGCAAUAUAACAAAUUGUACAGUAAAAAAUAACAGCAUUAACUCAACAUCAUAGCAAACUAUAGAAAGUAGUAGUGUCAGCAAGAAGGUUAGUUACAUUCCAUUUCACCUUUUGCUUAAAUAAAGCCAAUGUGUAGGUCAACCAAAUUCUUUGGGGAUCCCAGAAUCAGCCCUCCCCCCAAGAACAUCUUGCCUCAUGCUGUCACCCACCCAGCUAAAGCUAAGGUUAGAUUAAGAAGUAGGGCGUCCCCAGCAGAUCUUAAAAUACAGACUAGGCAGUAGUUGUUCAUACACACACACACACACACACACACACACGAGAAAAGAAGGGAUGGGCCUUUUUAGGGAGGGAAUUCUUCAAAGACCUUUCUUGUAGCCAUCAGCUUUGCAGAAUAAAGGCACACAUUUGUUAUCAUUUCAAUAUACUGUUCAUUUUCAUUAUAAAACAUUUUGGUACUCAUUUGUUAAAACCAUAUUUCUUUCAUUAUUCAUUCAUUAGUCAUGCACCUAUCAUCAAUUUCAUUGUAUGUUUUCUUACCUUAACUCUUUUUUUUUGGGGGGGGGCAUUCUGAGCGGCAGGGGAACUGAUACUAGUGGGCAUUCCUAUUGGCUACCAUCUUACAUUCCCAGAAUGUUCCUAGACAUUGCAUUCUUCCUGGGCAUGAGUGAAAGGGAAACAGUGGCUUCACCCACCGAAAAGGGGAACUCGGAUUAGUGUGCAUCCUUUUUGUGCCUCAAAUGGCCCCAAACGAUACAACUUUCUUGGAAAAUUAAAUGGCUGCCAACAUCAGCCCCAUUGCUGCCACCAGGGAGACCAGGUUAGACCUCCCCUUCCAAAAUGGGUAUGAACAGGCGUGAAAUGUGAGAAAUGUAUGCUUUCAUUACUCAUGGCAUUCUCUUCAGAAUGAAUGAAAAUGGAACCCAAUGCCCCCUUUCAGUUAAUAUUUUCAAACAUUGCAAAAUGAAGGCACGCUUCUGAGGCAGAAUGCAGCUGCUUUUGAAUAUAUUAAUACAUAGGGCAGUUUAUGUGGGCAAAAGCUCUCCUUAUACAUUCUGCCUAGCAUUCAGCAAAUGUUAAUUCUAAAUACAUGUGGAGGGGCAGCUGUAGCAGAAGCCAUUUUUAUGAUUUUCAUGACACAGAAAGGUACCUCACGGUUUCAUUUGGUGGCCUUCAUUCCUUUCUGACAUCUUCUUUAAACCUUAUGAAUUUUCUUGACAUCCUCCAGCUUCCUUGCUCUCUUCCCUCACUAUAUCAGUUAAUGCCCAAAAGAUUGCUCAGCAAUGAUCAACCAUGAGCCUCAAAAGAGAAGAUUUCUGCCAUGUUGACUACUGCCAGUCAAACUUCUAAGCCAGUCAUAUAACAAAAGGUUAGCCAAAUACAGUGCGUUUUGCUGGAAGAAUGAGCAAACAGGCUGCUGAUCACGACAGCUUUGUAUAUUAGCCUCCUACUGUGAACCAGGGAGGCAAGAUUAUAUUAAAUGAAUAUGUAAUCCCAAGCAUUAUAUACAGAUUAAAAGUGACUUUAGCUUGGAUGUCAGAACGAUGAUGGAUGGAAGUUCCUUGCAUAUGCAUUUCCCAAGUAAACUCUAUUAAAACAGCAAGCCUUUGUGGAAUUGAAUCUGCUAGUUUUGAAAGAGACAAAAUCAAUAAUUCUGGCAAACCUGACAAAUUUUCUUGCCUCCCCCCACACCCUGACUUUGGUAGGCUGGUAAUGGGUCUGCAAAAGUCUGACUUGAAAAAACAUGCUAGUCUCUGUUGAGGUAAUCAAUUAAAGCUGCAAUCCUUUACUCUCCUGGGAGUAAGCCCUACUGAGCAUACUGGGUCUUACAUCUGACUAAGAUGAGAGGGCUACCUAUGGCUACUAGCCAUGAUGACUAUACUUUGCCUACACAGGAAUGCUUCUGAAUACCAGUUGCUAGAAACCUCAGGAGAGGAGAUGGUUCUUGUGCUCAAAUCCUGCUUGUGGGUUUCCCAUAGGCAUCUAGCUGAGAACAGGAUGCUGGACUAAAUGGGCUAUUGGUCUGACCAGCAGGCUCUUCAUAUGUUCUUAUGAGUAAACAUGCUUAAGCUUUCACUGCAAAUAUAUUUUCCUUUGCUAAGAUAAAGCCACUUCCGCCCUGCAGAGGAGGUGGGAUUGUGGGCGUCACAGCCCCACCACGCGUGCAGUGGCUAGAAUCCCCGACCACUUCACCCCCUGGCCAGCCAAUCUGCCGGCUCUGGGGGCGUGGCCUAUUUAACGCAGGUGCGGCUGGAGAUCUCCCUCUUUUCCCACCUAUCAGCUGUUCCUGUUUCCCACCCUCCUGCCCUUUAAGGUUUUCGUUCCUUGACCUUGCUAUGGACCUUGGUUGGUCGCCUGGUAGGAAUUUUUCCACUUGGCAAAUUGGCACCAGCCACUUAGUUUUAUUUUUAUUUUUUAAAUAAUAUUUAUUGAUUUUCCAACCAUUUGAACACAAUAGAACAGAAAAAACAAAAAGGGAAAAGAAAAAGCAAAGAAAAAAAGAGAAAAAACAUAAGAUUAACAAAACAAGACACAAACCAUUUAAAACACAAAACAAUUUCAAUAUCUUAACUUUCAUUCCCUUAUCUCCAUGACCUCCUCACGCCUCCCUUUCUGUAUUCCACUUCUAUUAAUUGUUUCAGCAAUUCCUUUCCAUCUUCCUCUGUUUUCUAUCCUAUAAUUAUCUUAACAUAUUCUAAUCUUAUUUUUCCCUUUAAUACUCUAUUUCUAUUUAUACUUAAUUCCUUAUAACAUUUCUACUAAAGCCAUAUAACUUCAUUCCAACAUUUUUCUAACAUUCAUUAUUUUUACAAUAUUUCUAUACAUAGUCUUAAACUUUUUCCAGUUUUCUUCCACCGACUCUUCUCCCUGGUCUCGGAUUUCUGCCAGUCGUUUCCGCCAAUUCCAUAUAGUCCAUCAACUUCAUCUGCCAUUCUUCCCGGAUAGAUAAAUCUUGUGUCUUCCAGUACUUCACAAUGAGUAUUCUUGCUGCUAUUGUUGCAUACAUGAGACAAAUUCUAUCCUUCUUUAACACCAAUUGACCGACCAUGCCCAGGAGAAAGGCCUCUGGUUUCUUCAAAAGGGUAUAUUUAAAUACCUUUUUCAUUUCGUUAUGAAUCAUCUCCCAGAGUGUCUUAAUCCUUGGGCAUGUCCACCAAAAGUGAACUCUAAUCCUCAAAUUCGUCUGUUUUUCCUUAAAUUCAGUCAUAGCGAGCGUCAACUUAUGUUCAUCAAAUUGCCUCUGUAGGGCUGGGGCUAUCUCCUCUUUCUCUCCAGUUGUGUUUCUGUACCUUCAACAGCAACAGCUUUUUCCUUGACUUCCUCCACAGCUUGCCAUAUCAAAAUAGGUUCUUGUAUCAAUUUCUGGGUGGUUUCUGUAUUGGUAUUGUCCAUACUCCCUGCAUUCAAGUCAACCUCAACAAUUGAAACAUCCACCUUCGCAUUUAUCAUGUCCAUUUUCCUGUGAAGCUGAUCCAAUGAGUCAUUUAUCUUAUAUAAUGCAGCCACCAAAGCCUCUUCUGUCGACAUUUCUCUUGGUUUCAAAUAUACUAGUACAAAGACAGCAACAAAAAGAACAGGAGGGCCUAAUAAUAGACCUCUCCUGGAUUGUUACCAAGUCCUCCCAGACCUUAAUGUUUUAUCAACAGUUGACUGGUCUGUUUUUCCUCUUCCAUUUACCAUAACAUUUGAAAGAUUCAAGGUCAGUCCCAGAGUCUCACGGUUUUUAACUUGCAGCUGGAAAUUCCCUAGUCCAACUCUUGUAAAUCAACCAGUUUCAAAGGCUUCCACUAGGGGGAAACAGUUUCUAUUUGUAAAAGUCAAUAGUAUCCUCUUUUAAACAAUCCAAAGUUAGUUUCAAAUUAGUUUCAAUUUUCAGUUACUUUUACUCCUUUUUAAAGCAGCCGGAAACAGUAGAAACAAUGUAUUUCUCUUAUUUAGCUAGCUGUCAAUGAACGUUCUAAGCGCUGUCAAUGAACAUUCCAAAAAACAUCAGUCUUACUAGCAGCCCGUUUCCAGGGUCAGAGCGGCGGUGUUUUAAGCCUCUUCGCUCUCUCCCGCAGGCAUACUCAAUCCGCAACUUCCCCCUCUCUUCUCCUGCCUCCAAGAGGGGGUUUAAUGUUCUUUACCGUUGGAAAUUUGAUCUUUUACAAAAGACCUUCCAAGACUCCAGCUUGCAACUUCAUUGCCUCAGUCUAUUUACUUCCUGUUUUGAAACUCCCCGUUACGAUACCAAAUUAAACUUUUAGAAAUCCAAUUCUUCCGUUUCAACUCUACUCACGGGUAAUUACUUUAAAGUCAAAUUGUCCACAGGAAAAGGUCAGCGCUCUCCGGCAACAGCUAUGCGGCUUCGCUCCGUGGAAGAAGCAGAUGAUUCGAUGCACCGCGCCGCUCACCCCACGUCGCUCCGGAGCCCCAAAAACCGGGGUUCCCCGCGAGUGGGGGAGGCGCAAAAGGUGCCCGCCGAAUCCCACGUUCAGAGGCUUCUCCCGCCUGUGAUUUUAAUGGGUCUCCGUCUUCGCCGUGGCGGCCAGACCCAGAUUCCACGGAGCAGAUUCCUCCCGGUCAGAGGAAUUCUGCCAUUACCGGAGGCGCCUCCCCCGGAAGUCUCCUUAGUUUUAGCCUACCUCAUAGCAAAUCGUCACAACUUUCUUGGUAUUGGUGGUUAGGCAUUGGUAUUGGUAUUGUUUUGUAGAUGGAGGAGGGGAGGAAGCGCCAUCACAUGCCCCGCAUAUUGAAGGGUAGUCCAAUAAAGGAUUCCGGGGGGUGUGGCCCUGUCCGAAGCCUAUGGAGGUGAGGGCCUAAGGCACGCCCCAAGCAGUGACCCCGGGGGAGUUCCUAGUUGAUGCGCAUCAGCAGGACUCCCCCUACUGGUGGUUAACCCUUCCCGGACUUCAAGCGGACGGGCUGAAGCCGUAUAUAGUCGGUUAGGACCAAUGCCUAAGCCAAUACCACUCAUCACCUGUAACCAAUAAAGUUGUGGUCUUAUUUAGCCCAUUAACCUUAAUAAUUGUGUCAUGUGUCUUUAUUUCCACUGGGGGGACGGGAACUCGCCACACAAUGCAUGGGGUACAGGUAUUAUACUGGUAUGUUUGUUUUGCUUUUCAUUUCCCCAUCUGAAAAGCUUGUGGCCAGGAAACCAUUGUUUCUUAAAAAAAAUAAUUGACUCAUAAAUUACGCUAAAAUAAAACUGUGCAAACUUAAAUGCAUACUAAACAGAGUGAUCCUGUCGUGUCCAAGAGAUACCCUGCUGGGUGGGAGAGAUUUUUCCUCCAACCCCAGGGAGGCUCCCACUGUUUAUCAAUAAAAGCAAUUGGGAGCACAGACAGUUAUUGUAAUGAACACCAGGCUUUCUGCCCUAAUAAUUGCUAGAGCUGGCCAUGUUCUUGUAUCUCAUGUGCUUUGUGAAAAGGGAGCUAGGACUCAUAUGGAGCCAGGACUCCCAAUGGCUUUUGGUGAUAUAUAGUGGGAGCAUACCUGGGUUUGGAAGACAAUCUAUUCCAUCCAACAGGAUAACUCAUAGAGCAGGCUGGAGAGAAACUUAAGAAAAUUCCAGCGCAGCUUCCUUCAGUAGCAAGUAUUGUUGCAAUGAUUGUACUGUUUUUCCAAGGUAGACAUCAUCAUCGUUGUCAUUGUCAUAAUCAUAAUUAUAAAUCAGAUUUAUAGCCCACCUUUCCCCCAUCACUUGAUGUGUACAAGUCAGAAUGCUGCUUUGCCUGUUUUUUGUUUGCCUUAAUGGAAUCUGGAAAGUUCAGGUUCUAGCAAGCAAAGCAAGACAAGAUCAAGUAGUAGAAGUUCAAAUCCAGCUUUUAGUAAGGCAAAGCAAAAUAAAGUUCUGAUUUGAACAUACUCAGGUGGCAGCAUUUUGGACAAUUCUGAGUGAGCAACUUGCCCUGUAAAUGCUAGAGAUAAACUGAGGGGUUUUUUAUUUAUUAAAAAAGUAAUUUAUUUCAGCCCAUCCUUUCCACAACUCUACUGCUUGAGGAUAAGUGCUUACUUGUCUUUCUUGGGCUUCACACCUGGCAUGCGGGGGCCAUGCAAUUCCUCCUUAGGCUGAGUAAGGAUCCUGGAUUCAGCUCUGCAGGCUCCCGCCCUCCAGCCUCAGCAUCAGGAGACUGGUUCAGUUCCCCAAGCUCAGGCCAGCUUCACCUUUGACAUCAAGGCCUGCGUUUUGACAAGCAGUGGUCAAGUUCCAGUAGCUAAGUGCCAUGCUUCUCCAUCUGAAAGCAAAAUGAACUCUGGCUGCAUACAUACCAUACAUUUAAAGCACAUUGCUUCCCUCAAAGAACCCUAGGAACUGUAGCUUACCCCUCACAGAGCUACAGUUCCCAGUGCCCUUAACAAAUGACAGUUCUCAGGAUUCUUGGUGGGGAGGUUGCAUACUUUAAAUAUAUGGUGUGUACACAGCCUCUAUCUGGCUCCUUGGCGAAUUGCUGCUAGCGCAGAGGUAGGCAAUGUGGCACCUUUCAGAUGUUUUGGACUACAAUCCCCAUCAGCCCCAGGCAGCAUGGCCAAUGGUCAAGGAAGAUGGGAGCUGUAGUCCACAGUCACCACAAUGGCUAUGUCUGUGCUGGACAAUACUGGGCUGACAGUUGAGGACAGCUUGAUGUGUUUAUUUGCGUGUAAUGUGAAAUUCAGCCCUUGUAUGUACAGAGCUGAAAAUGCUCAAAUGAUGCCAUCUGACUGUGAAAAUGCAUAGCCUUCACCCCGGCAAAAAAAGAGAGAUUUGCUUAGGUAGUACCACAGAAUCAGCUUGGUUUCCAAUAGAUGUAUGACAAGAGAGAAUAUGAGAUUAUGGCAAGUUUGAUUUAUGAGAAGUGUUCUGUUUGAAAGCAGGAUGCUACUCUGAAAAUAAAGAGGGAAAUAGUGGUACUGAAGCAAAGGAGUUGGAAAAAUAAAUUGAAUGGCCAUUAGAAAUCAUUUUUCACAUCUUACUUACAAAGCUGAAAUAAUUAGCCCUUUGUGGGUUAUCAGUCCCUUAUAGUUUGGGUUACUUACUUAUUUAUUUAUUUUUAACAGAUGACAGGUAAUUUGACAGCUCGUGUAGGAAGGUGUAAUUUUUUUUCUCCCCUGACACAUUCAAACUGCUAGUUAUCUGCAAAGAAACACACAAAGGACCUAUUUUUAUACACUUGGCUCAGAAGCUCUCCAUAAUAAGAGUUCUUGUUUUGUACUCCUGUGAGGGAUUGGUCUGAAGGGGAAACAUGCUGCAAAGUCUGUGAGUCCACAGGAGGACAUUUGACAAAGCUUGUCCAUCGGAUUCAUAACCCGGUGAGUCACCCAGGCCUAAGAAACCACUUUAGCUCUAGUGGUCCAAAGGGAAUCACCAAAACAGAGAGCCUAAAGCAUGGCAAGUGGGGAGUGCUUUGAAGAUUGCUUAUCUGUUUCUUUAAAACAAAGAAGUGGUACAUGACGCCACCUGCCCAGUUCAUCCAGGAGUGUUCUAGUGUUCUCAGUACCCAGUACCAGAGGCUACCACCUUCCCAGACCCUCCAAGUGUCCCUAUUUUCUAGGGACAGUCCUGGAUUUACAGAAGCCAUCCCAGUUGAUCCCAGAGUGUCUCCCUUGCUUUAGAACGUUCCUGUUUUCAUUGGAGAAAUGUUGGAGGGUGUGGAGUUAUGUGACCCCCCAAACCAAGGACAUAAGUAACUAUGCAACCUUUAUAAGACAUCUGAAGGCAGCCCUGUACACUUUUAUUAUGUUUUCAUAUACGUUGGAAGCCACCUACCAGAGCCAAAUGGGUCUGAUAUACCCAGAGCCAAAUGGGUCCUUGUGUAUCAUUGCUUCAGGAAAAUUACACAGCCACUACAGUGCCAGUGGGUGAGGUGGUUCUCAGGCUGCCACACCAUUGUGGCAGAUGUUGGAGGACCCUUCCCACUGUUUCCUUUGGGUGCUAGGAAGUAGCAGUGGAGGUGAGUGCUGCAGGGUGGCUGAGCUUGUACCCUCUUGUGUUGGUGGACUACAGCUCCCUUCAGGGAUGAUGGGAAUUGUAGUCCAACAACAACUGGAGGGGACCAAGUUGGAUGCCGGCCUGUGUAAGUGGUUGAGGAUUGGACGGUUACUUUGGAAUGAGCACAGGCUAUUCAUGUCUUCUCUCUCCUCUAUCUCACUUCUAUGGUAGCUAUGACAGCAGUCUCUUUCUUGAGCCAGGAAUGGAGAUUGGACAGAAGUUGGAAGCCAGCAUCUGCAGAAGGGCACUUUGACCUCUUGCUCUGAAGGCAUGGACAGCCAGUUUGCAAGCUGGCUCAGUGACUCUACAUUGCCAUGAAUAUAAAAUAUGAUAACUAUAUGUGGCCUGAACAACUUUUUGUUUAAAAGACAUCCAUUCAGGUCCAUUGUUUCCUCCUCCCCAUUCUUCCCAUUCCAGAACGGACCUCGCUCAUUGAAUGGAUGAAGUACAAGCAGGACAAAGGGUCACAGAGGUGGCACCUGUUGUGGUAUAUAAAACUGAAUCGACCCUUUGGGCUCCCAUAAUAUUUUUCUCUAGAGAUGCAGCAACUCAAAAUCAUAGUUCGCACAAGAGACCUCAAAGGUCAGUAAGUCCAACUCCUGUUGACCUCAUAAUCUGAUUCCUCAUAUAAGCUUUCACAUCACUUAAUGGACUUCCAACAAGUUGUGGCAUUAAGCUUAAUUAAAUUAGAACGGGAGCCAUUAAAGCCAUGAACACAUUUAAGGAUGUAGACCUAUUGAAAUUCAUGGACCUAAAUUAGUCAUCGCUGUUAAUUUCAGUGGGUCUACUCUGAAUAGGACCAGCACUGGAUAGUACCUUUAUGUUCCUUGGCCUCAUAUUGUAUUUCUGCUCUUUUUGACGUGUACUUCUCUGUGCUUUUUUUAUUAUAUAAAAAAAUAAAUAAUGCACCAUUAUUAAAAAAUAAUCACUUAAUGAGAAGGCAUAUCUUUUUAUUACUAUAUGCCUCAAAAUAGGGAAUAACUGGAAGUACUGCCAAAGUGCAAAUCACUAUUAUGUAUGUUCCCGCUGCCAGUUUUGGAAGCUUUUCCAUUAUGAAUGAGCUAAGUAGCAAUUACUGGAGGAAUUACGAGGGAGCAGCUUUUUAAAAAUUAAGAGCCUUGCCCUGCUCCUGUUUAAAUGAAUGGCCAGGCUCACUUUGACUAAAUUGGCUGGACGAUGCAACAUAUAUUCAUUUAUGAUAAUGAUAUGUAAACAUAAAGGCAAUCUUUCAGCUGGAGAGUUAUUGAACAUGGACUGCUAUUGCAACUACUUUCAGGAGCCUAAUAUAAAAGGAAGUGGCUGUAAAAAACUACACACACAUGCACACAAGGACCCUGGCAUUUUUUGGUUCAAUAUUUGUCACCACUAACCCCCUAUUAAGUAUUUUAUGCCUACACAUAUUCCCCCCCUCUUGUGUGCCUGCACAUUUUCCUUUCUGUACUGUAAUAUCCCAAGCAGAGCUGAAGGCAUUAAUUGAGAAUAAUGAAGAACUCAAAAAUUAAUUAUAGAUUACAAAACCGGAUCUUAAUAUGAUUGUAAGCGGAGCUGUCACCCAUGAAAAUGCAUGGUGAUCAUUCCAUUAUUGUUAAAAUCUAUGUAACUCAUGUCACGGCAACAAUUCACCGUAGGUAAUUUUUCCUCAACUGCUGUGUUACUGGUUUUUUUUUUUUUAAAAAAAUGCUAUUAAUUAAAUAUCCAAAGAAAUUAUCUGUAUUUAGUAACUACAGUAGUAAUUUAAAUGAGUUCACUAUUCAAACAAAAGCACAACACUUCAAUCAACUAGGCAUACACUGACUUGGAAAUAAGUCCCUUUUAAAUCAGUGGGCCUUAUUGCCAUGCCAAUAUGCUAAGGACUGGGGUGUAAAAGGCAAGCAACCCUGAUAUUAAAUUAAAUCAAAUAUGUAAGCGUGCAGUACAGUAGUGUUCAUUUCUAAACAGAAAUCUCCCCUAAACAGAAAUCUCCCCUGGGGGAGAAAACAUUUCAAAACAGUGGAGGAUUUCAAAAGGAAGCCAGUCAUCUAAAUAAGAGUAAUCUAAAUAACAGUGUAUGACAGUCUGCUUGUGAUGGGCAGGGAGAACAUUCUGACUGUUAAAAAUAUUCCUUUCCUUGGUUUCUUUGGCAAGAGAUGGGUGGAGAUAAGAAAAUACACUUGUGUGAUGUUUUCUGUAUUGGCCCCUUCUCUCCAGGAGAUAAUGUAUUUGUGGAAGCAUGAACAAAUGGAUCGCUGCGCCAGGCUUAGUUCCUGCUGUGUACCUUAGCUGGGUGCAUCAUCUGGUAUCACGGACUCCGAAAGACAUGGUUCUUUCUUGCUGAAAAGAGGCGCAUUUCACAAAAGGAGAGCCAGCUCUGCUUCAUGUCAACGUGUUUCCUAUUCUUUCUCCAGCUGAUUUAGGGUUCAGUUUAACGUGAUUGUAUUCCAAUGGGGGAAAGCAAUGAGUUGAACAAAUUGUUCCCAGCUCCUGUGUACACUGUAGACCUUGCUUAGACAAAGGUCAGCAGUUACUCUAUUGAAGAAAACUGACUGAUCAGCAUUUAAUGCGGCAAGUAAAAACAAAGGAAGCUUGGGGAUUUGUGUGUCAUAACUCAGCACUGGGUGAGUAAGCAACAUUUGCAGUUCAUAAUGGCCUCAAGCUCAGUUGCUUCCCUGCCCCCCUCCAACGUUUUAUGUCCCAGACACUGCAGAAGGCCUAGAACAAACCCUCAGGGUGUAGGGAAGAUGGUAGUGGGUUCUUUGGGGGAGAGUUACAUACCCUUCUGUGGAUUUAUUUUUGAUUCAGAUUUGUCAUGGCCAAUGGCUAGCACAAUAAAGUUAUUUGGAUCUUGUAAUACCCUCCUGAAUUUUCCAAAUGAAAAUAGGGGUGUCCUCCAUACCCUCCAGCAUUCCUCCAGUGAAAAUAGGGACGUUCUGAGGAAAAGCGGGACAUUUCAGGAUCAAAUCAGAAACCAGGGCGGCUUCUGUAAAUCCAUGACCGUCCCUGGAAAAUAGGGGCACAUGGAGGGUCUGGAGUCAGAUGCAUGUUAUGGGAGUUCCCUCCUUCACAAUUCACCAGACAUACUGGGUGAAAGGGUAAAUUGGAAAAAGGAAAGCUAAAAUGAGGAUGAAUGGGAGAAAUCAACAAUGAGAAGUUAGGGUUCCUUUUCUUACAUGCAGGCACACCCGACACUCUGGGAGGAACAAAAACAAACCAGAGCCUGAAACUGCGGAAGCAUCCAGACAGUGUGUAUUUGUCAGCUUUGUUUCCCUCUUCCAUCCAUUUAUUUGUUUGCCUUUUUUCUCUCCCCACUGUCCAGUUAUUUCUUCAUCGGGGUCCAGUUUAUGAGAAAAUAAACUUUCCCUUCCUUAAUUAUGUUUGAUGAUUUAUAGAUUAAGAACCAGUAUUUGAAAAAGAGUUACACAAGAGCUUAUAUCCACAACUGCUUUCCCUUGAGUUCAGCAUAACCGUUCUGGUUGCAAUAUGGCAACAUCCUUAUGAAUGUCUACGUGAGGGGAGAAUUAAUGUCAUAGGCCAAUGAAUUCAGAAGUCUAUGUGGUGUGCAUUGAGUUGUAAUCAUGGGCCCAAAAUAAGAGGCUAACGCCUAGCUGUCUCAAUAGGAAGCAAAGAAGCUUAUUUAAAUCUUGUGAAGAUUAGUGAAGAAUAUUUUGUAUGCUAGUAGACAAGUAAUUAUGAGGAAGUGGGGGAAUGUAACCUGCCUAUUACUGUCAGCCUGAGUAACAAUGAUGCUUAGCUUAGCUGCCAGAAAGUGGAUUGCAUCCAGAGAAUGUUUGAUCGCGUUUUGUUAUCUUUUAUGUCCCAGUGAUGCAAUUUUUACUGAUUCCUGUUAUUCAUCCUGUGUAGAAAUAUAUAAACAGAUCAAAGAUGGAUUUUAAAGUAAUACAGUUAAGCAGAUGAGUUUAUUUCCUUGUUGUUGUUUUUAUAUAUAUAUAUACGGCAGGAAGGGAGGGGGAAAAGAAAAGGGUGGACUAAGAAAACCAAGGAGGAAUUGCUCUUUUUGAUCAUCCUAUGUCAGUAUCACACAGGAGCAUGUUUCUACAGUGUUUAAGAAUUCUUUGCUCAUUGGUCCUUCUAGUUCUUGACUUUAUGUGAAUAGCUAGACAGGGAAGGUCAAAUGUGGUUUCCAAGGCUGUAAAAUCAGUAAGCUGCCAUCACACUGCAGUUCACACAGUCACCCAUAGCAACUCCAGUGUGAUGACAGAACAGGCAGAUGAGAAAUCAAGCAGCACAGGUGGCAGGUGGCCCAGGCGGGCUAUUUAAUGGAGGUUGGGAGGUACAACAGAGAGCAGCUUGGCUAACUGCUCUCUGAAGAACCUGACACUCCUUUAAAAGGGGUUGUGGGUUGAGGUGAGUGGUGAGGGAAGAGGUAAGCUGAGAGGGGAGGGAGAUUAGGUAAACUGAGACAGAAGGUUUGGGCAAGAUGUAAAGGGAUGGGUGAGGUGUAAAGAGAGCAGGGGUUGAUCAGGCGUGGGGAAGGUAUGUGGGGUCAGUAAGCAGAGCAAGCAUAUGUGCCCCAACACACCCAAUUUGGGAAUUUCACUGGGAGUGUAGGAGCCACAUUAAGAGCUUUCCCAGGCUAAGAAAUAUGCACAGAGCUGCCCCACCCCCAUUCUGUAAAGUGAAUGCACAAGCAUUAAAUCACAUGUGAAGAUCUCAGACUGAAUGACAAGGAUUUGUUGUUCUCAUCAUAAAACUGACCCAGGUAAUUGUCAAAGAGCUACCUCAGCAGGCCUGCUGAGCCCUGAGGCCCCAUCUGCACUAUACAUUUAUAGCAGCAUCACAGCACUUUGUACAGCCAUGGGUUCCCCAAAAGAAUCUUGGGAACUGUAGUUUAUUAAGUGUGCUGAGGGUUGUUGGGAGACCUUCAUUUCCUUUUCAGAACUAUAAUUCCCAGAGUUCCCUAGGAAGACGGAUUGACUGUUAAACGAUUCUGAGAAUAGUUACUCUGUGAGGGCACCAUUCUCAGCACUCUUAACAAACUACCGUUUCCAGGAUUCUUUGGGAGAAGCCAUGACUUUUCAAAGUGGUAUGAUGAUGCUUUAAAUGUAUACUGCAGAUGGAGCCUGAAUCUUGACUGGAACCAACAAAGGACUAAUCUUCUAAUAAUGUACAGUUGUACCCUGGAAGUCGAACAGAAUCCGUUCUGGAAAUCUGUUCGACUUCCAAAAUGUUUGAAGCCACUGCAGCAAAUCAGAAGCCUAGGAAGCCCCGUCGGACAUUUGGGUUCCAAAAGAACAUUCGCAAACAUUCACAAUCACUUCUGGGUUUGUGGUGUUUCGGAGCCAAAACAUCCGUGUUCCAGGGCAUUCAGGAUCCAAGGUACAACUGUAUUGUUACAAAGUAGGAAGACUAGCAAUAUAUUACAAGUUUGUCUCCUAUGACUGAGCACUCAGUUAACAUUACAAGGCCUUUCUAGCCAUGGUAGACAUAAGUCGGCUGGGUAUUAAUAGAGAUGGGCCACUGCUGACUGGAUACCUGUGUAAGUCAGCUACCUAGGCUAGAAAGUAGAUCUCAUUCCUGACUGAAUUGACUUGAGGGAUGGAAAUGUGUGGGUGUUUCUUUUUUUUAUUCCCUGUAGCAAUUUACAUCUCCAAGAGAAAUGUCCUCCUCUGCUCUCUUUUACAGAUUUUUAUCUCUAGCAAUUUAAAUCUCCUAGAGAAAUGUCCACUUCCUCUGCUCUCUUCUAGGCUAGGACUUUGGCAGUCCCCCAUAGAUGCAUGCAAAAGUUCCCAGUCACAAUUUCGCGCACCUCAAGGUAGGGUUGGGAAACUCUUUAAUCUACAAUCCUGCCUGAACAGCCUCUGCUAGUCUGUAGCUAGAUGAGCCAAUAGUCUGACCUGGUAUAAGAAAACUUCCUGUAUUCCUGUGACCCAUCAAGGAAUAACUGUACUGUAAAAAAUGAAGAAGUGGGCAUAAUAGCACUGAUCUACUGUUAUGUUUUGGAAAGUCCAUUGUCCAUCUGUUCUCUAUGUGAUCAAAUGCCUAUUGAGAUAUCAUCACCAUACUUGGCAUGAUGGUUCCUGAGAUAGAGGAGCUGGUUUUCAUCUGUAUUUGGAUACCAUUGGGCACCAUUUUGAGUCAAGAUGUUGAUCCAAACUAUUCCAAACUGUACUGAUUUGGACACUUCAGAUGCUAUCGUCACACAAUUUAGCGUGGUUGUUCCUGAGAUUGAGAAAGAUAUUUUAAUCUAUAAUCUGGAGACUAUUGGGUGCCAUUUUCAAUCAUGAUGGCAGGCCAAAAUAUUCCAAACUGCACUGAUUGGGAUGCCUCUGGAGAUAUCAUCAUCCAGUUUGACAUUAUAGUUCCUAUAUGAAGGAACAGGCUUUGGUUUAGAUACUGUCAGGUGCCAUUUUGAAUCAUGAUGGGGUACCAAACUAUUCCAAACUGCACUGAUUUGGACACCUCUGAAGCUAUCAUCAUAUAAUUUUUUUGCCUAGAGUAUCCUGUUUCAAAGGUAUUGAAACAAUAAUAAGCAUGCCUCCUUUGAAGUAAACCACCCUGUGUUCAGUGAGAUAUACACAAAGGAAAUGUGCAUAGUGGGAUAGGGAACCUAGGACCUGUGCCAUUGUACUACAACUAUUAUAAUACUGUACAUGACCCUUGAUUAUUUUGGCUGGGGUUGAUGGGAGUUGGAGUCCAAUGUCCUUCAGAGGGCCACAGGUUCCCCAACCCUGGUGUAUAGCAUUGCAACCUAAGUCGGUUUUACAACUUCUCAUUUUGUUUUGUUCAGCCUGAAGCACAAAGUGCUUCCACUACAUAUCCAGUUAGCUUUUCAACAAGUACCAUCCACUUCAUCACUGCUAGAGAAGAUUAAAAGCAGGUCAUUUAUUUCUCACAUCUAUACUUUUCUCCUCCUAGCAAAAUGAAAAGGCAUGCAUUUGAGCACAGACAUCCUCAGAACCACAUUGUUGCCUUUAAAAAUUGAAUAUUUAGAGCAUUUAACAAACCUGUGAGCUAUCUGAUAAAUUCUAUUGAUCGACAUACCAAAAUUUAUUUAGCCUGCUAAACGAGAAAUAUAUCAAAUGUGCAUAAAAUGUGAUAGGAACAUAGGCAAGGAAAUUGUGGUCAUGCAAUAUUUUUUUAAAGCAACCUGUGAUUUACUUCAAUUUCAGUAUGAUUUUAUUUCUUCCUUGUCAAAAAGGUCAGGCUCAUUUCUGUAUCUCCCAGUGGUAAAUACAGUUAAUGUGCUGAGGCUGCAAUGCAUCCAGCAUGGAGGUCAUUUAAUGGUGACAUAAAUUAUUUUACUAGCUUUUCCUUCAAGUGGGCUAUGAAUCCAUGUAGUAUAAAUGAAUAUCAGAGCUGUGAUGCUGUUUCAUCCUGCCAGGCAGGCUGAACUUUAGUGUUCCUUCUUUCAGUUGGGAUGCUGCAGAGUGACAAAGACGAUAAGAACUUUUGGUGGAGACAGUGGGAUAUUGCUAUUUUCCCCCCCUUCAUCUUAUUUUUUAAAACUGAUCUUCCAUACUGUGUAUUGAAUUCUAGUAUGCAAAUGGAUUUUUGUUUAAAAAAGUAUUUACUUUCUUUUAAGCAGGAAUAAAAAGGGACGUGGGUGGCGCUGUGGGUUAAACCACAGAGCCUAGGACUUGCUGAUCAGAAGGUCGCGGUUCGAAUCCCCGCAACAGGGUGAGCUCCCAUUGUUCGGUCCCAUCUCCAGCCAACAUAGCAGUUUGAAAGCACGUCAAAGUGCAAGUAGAUAAAUAGGUACCACUCCGGUGGGAAGGUAAACAGCGUUUCCGUAUACUGCUCUGGUUCGCCAGAAGCAGCUUAGUCAUACUGGCCACAUGACCCGGAAGCUGUACGCCCGCUCCCUCGGCCAAUAAAGCGAGAUGAGCGCUGCAACCCCAGAGUCGGUCACGACCAGACCUAAUGGUCAGGGGUCCCUUUACCUUUACCUUAAGCAGGAAAAAGUUCGCAAUUGAAUGAUUAUUAUUUUUAAGUAACACUUUAUUUUAAGCAGGAUAAUGUUUGCAAUUUGUAUCGGUGUCAAGUUUCCAUUUUUUUUAAAAAAAAUAUUUAGAUUUUCAAACGUAACAUAAUCGAAAAGUAAAAUAUUGACAUACCAAACUAUCAUAUAUUAGCGGCCUCAGUAACACGUAUCACACAUCUAAAUUAACUUCAAGGCGGGGGGACUUUAAAACAGUUUUUAAGGAUAGCUGUGUUAGAAACUUUUCCAUAUGCUACCACAAAGGCCUAAUCUGAAAUGGGUCACCAUUUAACAAGACUUAUGAAAGCUUCUUUCAGUUCAGUUGAGCUGUAAGGUCCGAGUGGCUCUGCAAGAUAUCAUGGGUGUUCAGGGGGCGGUGGAUGUUGGCCUUUGUCUUUUCUGCUGGUUUCACUUAAGUGCCCACACAUAAUAGAGAUUUCACUGAGUGUAGGAACAAGGGACAGAAAGGUCACCUUCUGGAGGAGUUCUUCUGAACAGUUGGUAAUAAGGGUUGAGCAGUUUGGGGACGGGACCAUGACAGGCUGCUGUGCUCGAGACUAAAUAGAACUCUCAAAAGUACCUUGUAGUUUGGGAUGUCAUGCUUGUGACCGUUAUUAAUAGGGAUGGAAGUUCUAAAAUAGCUAUUUAAAAAUCUACGUUCUAACCCAGGGUGACUGCUUUUAGGAACUCUGAGGCUGGAUCCUGAGCAACGUAAUUUGUACUCUAUUGGAGAAGAUGUCAGUAAUGAGCUUGGUUUUCUAACACACCAUGUUAAAUAAUCUUUCUUGUAUGGGCAUAUCAGUGCUGUUUUUGUUUACCUCCAUUUAGUUUUUGGUUUUUUAGAGUGUCCCUUGCUGGGAUUCUUGCUUCCUAUGUUUAUUGUUGUUUUAUUAUGAUGGUGGUUUGAUGCAUUUUGUGGUUUUGUAUUGGGUUGUUUGAUAUUUUAUGGUGUCUUGAAUUCUUAAAAAAAAAAAAAGCAGGAUAUGAGUUUUUUUUAAAAAAUGGUGGCCCUAAUAUAGUUGGCAAUCACAGAAAAAUCAAAGGGUGAUUCAAACUCCUUCAUAGGUGCCAACUAGCACCCAUAGUGAGCGAUGGGUGUUGGUUGGCACCCAUGAUGCAUGGAUCAUUUACAACAUAUCUGCUUGGAAAGAGAGGACCAGGUGAACUAAUUAUUUGUUCUGAUCCCUAACAAUUUAUAUAUUCAGGAGGCAUUGACCCAAACAAGAUGGUGGAAGCAUUCUCAGAACUACACAAGAUGGUUUCAUGCUUUUGAUCAUGUGGUUGAGCUUUCUGGUAAAUAGUAAUAACUGGGGGGAGGGCAGAAUUCCAUCCCUCUCUUCUGCUGGACAAAUUAAAGCCACAUGCUGUGGCCACACAGCAAGGUUUGUUACACUCUUCCCUCUUUGCCCCUUACGUAUGAAUCUGACAUGCACCAUGUUCACCCUGUAGCCAUCCCAAACUACCAUAGGAAUUACUGCAAAUCCUAUUUAAAUUCCCUCACCUGCCCAGACAAAAUGUAAUUUGGCCCAAAUAGCAUGCCUAUGGUCACACAGAUGACACCAAAGAGUGUGGAGCGCAGGUGAAAACAAGGAGACCCAGGGCCAAUGAAGAGCUCUCCCCCAAAUUCCUACUCAGUCCCCCUCCAAAAGGGUGAAUAGCAAUGCCCACACUGCAAAGGGUGGGAUAGCGGGUGCCAACCAAAGGAAAGUGGGGGCAGGGCAGAGCUGGCUUAAGUAGCCUGCUCUCUGCCUCUUCCCUAUUGGACAAUGCAGCCCAUGUGUUUGCCUCCCCCAGCCUAACCAUCUCUCCUGUUCUUCCAGCACCAUUGCACCAACUCCUGCCACAUUAUCAGUUGUCAGUGGGAGAGUGGUAUAAAGAAAGGGAUCAACAGGUAACUCUUUGGCAAUCUAUUCAAGGGUUACUCACUUGGUAUCAAUUGUGUGAAACAAAUAUGUUCUUUUUUUAAAAAAAUCGUGAUUAUUGUACACAAAUAGCUGUUCAAUCAGAGGGCUGUUCCAGGAGUGUUCUGCUUAUGGCUUUAACAAGUAAUGCAUUCAGUAAACAGCACGUUUACUGAAUCUCUGUUCAGAAAAAGAUCACCUCUUAGGAAGCAUUAUAUCUUCCACUGAAUUAUUACAAACGUAAUUUGAUGCAAUUAUACUUUCAAAUUAUACUAUAUACCCCGAUUGUGUUUGCUUUGUAUAUUUACAUGAACUAGGCUAAGGAUGAGUUUAUUAUUGGGUUUCAGAACAGUAAUUAUAACGUAGUUAUUUCAUCCAACUUCUAAUGAAGCUUACAGUCAGGCAAAGCCGAUGGAACAUUAACAUCAGAGUGCAAACACUCCUUAAAGCAAUCCACAGGAAAGGAUCAAUCAGUGUAAAAAGUCACAGCCUUCACGCGGUAUCGCUGUGCUCUGAUAGUCUCUAAAAAUGAAUUCUUAAGGAUCAUUUAACAAGGACUGUUUAUCACUUAAUAUACAGUAACCAUUCUGAAUACACAAUCAUGGCAGUUAAAAAGACGGUGGAAGAAAGUUGCAUUUUAAUUAUUAUUUUUACCUUUUUACCACUAUAGAGUGGUAGUGAACAGAGAACCAGGGUGAAAUUAUCCCGGGGCCCUCCAGAUGGGUAUUUUAUUACAGGUGUCUGCUCUUUGACACCCUAAUGGUGCAUUAGUGAUGGAUUUCUUCUGCUUUAGUUUGUUCUGUGAUGCUUUCCCAAUGCUACCACAUUGGUGGCAUUCAGGCAUGGGGUUUGUCGCAUUAGUUUUUCUGGUUAUAUUGCUAGCACUGCUGUCUGGACUUUGAACAUUCCAAGUGUUGUUGGACUACAAUUUCAUUAGCCCCAGCAUAGCAAAUAGUGAAAAAUAAUAGGAAGCAGAGUCCAACAAUAUCUGGAGGGUAUCCGGGUGGCUACCCCUGCAUUAUAGCCUGCCUAUCCAACACCUAGAGCUACAGACAGACACAAAAAAUUAAAUUAGUUCCUCUGCAAUCUCCUUUUCCUCCUUUAGCACACCUUUCAGUCCCUUGUCAUCUAAAGGUUCAACCUAUUCCCCAGCCAGUUUUCUGCUUCUGAUUUAUUUAAAUACUUUUUGUUAUUAUUGUAAUUGGUCCUAAUGCUUUUAGCAGUAUGUUCCUUGUCUUGAAUUAUCCCCCUCACUGAUCUCUCAUUGUCCACUUGCAUUUCUUUCGUCCACCUGCAUUUCUUUUGUGUUCCUUUUUGCCCUCCACAUUUGGGCAAGAUUUCCAUUUUCCGAAAGAAGCCUUCUUGCCUCCAGAUGCUUCCUUGAUUCUGCUCCUUAAUGACAUCCUGUUAGACCUUUCUGCUCUGUUGUAUCUGAUCUUUUUCUGUUAGGGUUUUAAUAACCCCUAAGCAUUCUGGUGAGAUUUGACCCUCCUGACUUUUCCGGGAGUAUGUCCUAACUGAAUUCAGUGGGACACCACACCUCUGAGUAGACAUACUAGAAUGGUGCUCUUAAGUCUGUGUUAGAAUAUGGAAGAAACACUGAAGCAGCUUCAAAAUAAAUGGAAGCGGUAACAAUUGGUGGCAAGUAUCUAUUAUUUGUCAUUUCUGACCAGAAAGCAUUGCUGUGUCUGUCAUGGGUGUAGCCAGGAUUUUUGUGGGGGGCAUGCCUUUUGUUGUGGGGGCAGAACCUCAGUUAGCUUUGUAUUUAUUUAUUUAUUGGGGGGCAGCUGUCCCUCCCUGCCCCCCUUGGCUACACCCAUGGUCUCAGUGGUGGGAAACCUGGGGCCUUCCAGAAGUUAUUGGACCCCAACUCCCAUAAUGUCUGACCAUUGGCCAUGCUAGCUAGGUCUGGAGGGGUUUUGAUUCCAACAACAUUGGGGAGGGGGGGCAGCACAGGUUUUCCACUGCUACACAAUUUGCUUCAGAUAGCAUGUAUAUAUUACCUGUAUAUACUUUGAAAGGAAUGCCUCAUUGCCUUGCCUAUCACAACCUAAGCAGAAACUCUUUUAGCACGAUCUUAUUGAAGACAUUAAGCUGGGGGACAUCUCCAUACUUGAUUAAAUGGGGAGACAGAAAUGGCCAUUUCACUUUGCUGGUAAAUCGUUUUGCCCAGCUUUGACACAAUAAUUUGCUUAAUUUCUUAAUGCGCUUCUACAGUUCAGACUGCGCUCCCAGCUUUUAAGUGCCAUCAUUAAAUUCUCAUUUCAAAUCAAUGUACUAGUUGCACAUUGCUGGGCAAACAAAGUAUUUAAAGAGUUUUCCCCAUAAUGCAAGGUAAUUGGUGGAUCCUCAGCAAGGCCCAUGAAGUUGCAGUUGUCUUUGCCAGUAGAAGGCCAGCAAAAGGAGGGGGAGUCUAGAAAAGACUCAUUUGCUGCCAGUAUCACAGUGUUUGGCCUGGAAGUCAGCUGCCCUUUACAGAAAGAGCCUGAAUAAACCAGCAGCACAAAACACAGCUGACAAGGCCCAGCAGCUGAACAAAUGGACAAGUAUGUAAUUUAGCUCAGCCUUCCUUUUGGGGUGUGUGUGCUUAAUUAAUGAGGGUGAUACAAAAGGGUGGUAAUGAGUAAUGAGUACUGAGUGUCUGUGAGGUCAGUUAAAGAUCAUUUUUGUGCACACAAUGGCUUCAUUUUCGACUAAAUCUUUCAGCCUAUGAUAAAAGAGCUUACCUUGAGAGAGUUCAGGGAAUUGAAAGCAGAACAGGUUUUUUUUUGGGGGGGAGGGGUAUUCAAAAACAUAAGAAAAGAAAAGAGGGGGGAUUGAUACCAAAUGGGACAAUGAAAAGAUAUGAAGCAAAGAGAGAUAAUCUGUUGGGUGCUUGUGAAGAGCAAAUGGGAAAGUAUGGUGACGUGAGAUACAAAAUUAUACAAUAAACACCUGGUCUUCAAUAGAUGAGCCAUAUUCCACAACUGAAUCACACUGUAUUGUAAAGUCAUACCAUUUAUACCAACCUUUUUUGUCUCUCUGUUUACAGAUUUUUAAGAGAAGGAAAGUUCUCAUGAUUAAAAUUAAAAGUAGUUCUCAGGAUUAAUUUUUUUUAAGACUACCACAAUAAAAACAUCAAGUUAAAGGAGUGAGCAUAAUAAUAUGUUUUGGAAUUUUUGCUCCCUAUUUUUCUUGAUUUGUUAUUUUCUUUCUUUCUUAUAAUUAUUGUCUAUGUCCCCUCCCCCCCCCUUUGUCAGAGAUGUAGUUGUUUUGAAGGGAUCAAGGCAAACUCAUAGAAUUGUAGAAAGGUAGAUUUGGGAGUGACCUGAAGGGUCAUCUGGUCCAACCCCCUGCAAUGCAGGAAUCUAAACUAAAGCAUCCAUGUCAGAUGUCCAUCCAACCUCAGAGAUGGCCAUCCAAAUGGUCUCAGAGCUGCAAAAAGGAAACCAUGGUUCCAGACUGACCUCAUCGCUUCAUAUUAUAGCAUUGUGCACAAAAUACCCAACAAAGGGAGGCUAUUUUAGUUCCCUGCUGUGGUGAAUGUUUCCAUCUGGUUAGGUAUUCAUGUGCACUCAUUUGCAGUCAGAGUACGUGAUAAGGAUAGACUCCACUCAAGAUCUGAAACAAGGUUUGCCACAUGAAGACAGCCACCGAAGGCAGCAACAUAGUCGCUAUUAUGGUUAUUCUGGCCAUUUUUGGACUACACUUCCCAUCAUCCCUGAUCAUGGGCAGUGAUGACUGGGACUGAUAGGUGCUGGAAAUCAAUAGCACCUGGAGGGACACAGAUUCCCUACCCCUGUGUUAUGAAAUCACACUGUUUAUGUAAUGGAAUAUUAAAGAUCGCAGCUGCACAAGCAUUUUUCUAUGCUGGGAAGAAAGGUGAGAGCAGCAUAAUGAUUCAAAGCAAUUCCAAUUCAUUUCAAAUGCAACAUGCAAGUGAUCGUGAUUUGUUCACGCUGGACCAUUGUGCUCAACAAGGUGUCCUGGACCUCUGCUGAAUAUUCACGGGAAUUAAGUUUUUUGACCACUAGAGGGCUUCCAUAUUUUUAUUUAAAGCAAUAGAAACACAACAUGGGGCAUAAGUGUAAAUCUCUAAGAUGACUGUAUGCAGAUAUACAGGAUCUACAUUAUCGAAGAAAUAUAUAUUUCAGUGACUAACAUAGCAGAACUUUUAAAUUCUUGCAGCAAAACAUUUUUGCUUCUGCCUUCAUCAGUUGCUCUGAUUAAGAUGUUGCUGUUUCCAAGGUGGCAGUUACAGUGUGUGUGUGUGUGUGUGUGUGUGUGUGUGUGUGUGUGUGUGUGUAACAUUCUCUCUAUCAUUAUGUUGCCAGUAUCUUGCAAAUGAAACAGUAGCUAUAAACAUCUAUUUACUAUGGGAAUCCUAAUGGAAAAGCUAGCAAAAAAUCAGAACAAAGUUGUCAGAGGAAAUAGUUUAAAAAAUUUAACAUUGUACAUGAAAUUUAAAUAGCAAUACAUAGGAUAGUUUGUAUCAUCAAGUCUCAGUAGCAUAUCAUCAAGUCUCAGGAGUUCCACAGGUCUGGGUAUAAAUUACUCAGGUUUGAAUAGAAGUUCAUCUCUUGCUUUGGACGCAUGGCAUUUUAGUUUUGUUCCACCCUUCAUCAUUGCAGACAUUUAUUUCAUUUUUUAAGACCUGGAUCUGACAGAAGAUCAUGAUUGCAAUAAAAAUCUAGGCUGAGUUUCAAAUUGGUAAGAGGCAGCACACUUAGUACUACACAGUGUAGAAGUCCUGAAAUAUAGAUAGCUUCUCAUCUUCCAAAUGCUCCCAAGCUCAGUCCACAACCACCAUAGUGUGCUUACAGCCUAAAUGUGUUUAAUUUGCUCAAAUUGAAGGUUGGAAAGGGGGGGGGGAGAGAGAGAGAUUAUAGUGCCAUUCUAACGGAUAUGAUACUAACUGAAGGUUUGGGAUGUGGGAGUAUAAGAAGUUAAUUGGUAGCUCUUAACAUAAGCUCUUGCUUAUUAGACCCCCACCUGAUCUAUACAUAAGGGAAAGGGCAUCUGAGGUUUAAUUGGGUGAAAGGAGAAGGGAUGUGCAAGGAGAUUUUAUGUUUGGUUCUGAAUGCUUGAUUAUAGCCUGUGUAAAAAGACUUAAGAAGAACUGCAUCCCAGUGGAUUUAGUUGGCUUCCUAGCUUUGUGCAUCUCCAUUUUCUUUUUAAUGGACCUAAAGGGGUUUAAUAACUUGAUCUCAUAAAAUUCAAGGGGUGGCUGAAGAUUUUUUUGCUGGACAGGUAUAGAAGCUGACCUGGCUACUAAAUAUUACAUCAAAACUGGUGAUGGGACAUGACCUCUUCAGAACUUGUGGGCAGGAGGCUAGCUCAGGUGGUCCCACAGCAGACACUACUCCAUCUUUACUACCGCUUCCGACAUCACUGCAUUUGUUGCCUGAGGCAGCUGCCUCAUUCUGCCUAAAUGGUGGGGCUGGACCUGACAAAACUGAUGUCCUGAGGAAGCUGUCCUGCUUCACGUAUGUUACUAUUAUUGUUUGAUGUGAGAGGAAAACCAUAUUUCAGAUGCCUUUGGUAACUGUCCUUGCUAGAAUUACAGAAUACUUUGCUAUGAUAUUUCAGGGACAGAAUGGAUCUUGCAAAUGCUCUGUUGAGCAAAGUGCUGAAAUGCUAUAAGCAUAGAAAAGGUACAAUAGGCAGUUUUUCAGACAGUGUGAGAAUGGCCUUCCGUACAGCCUAGUAUUGCUUAUUAUGAGGCUAUAGGGUGGGAGGGAUGCACAAUGGAUGUUUACAGACCAGUUUCACAACUGUACCUUUAAAAGGGAAGGAAUCUCAGAUACUAUUUUUAGCCGGUGCCAGCUUCAUUAUAUUUUAAACUGAAAGACAGAUGAAUUGCCUUGAGAAUACAGCAAGAGGUUUCUUGGAAGCAAAGCUCAAAUGGCCACAUUAUUCAUGGCCCAAAAACUAUAGCUGGUGAAUCCAGAAUUGCCAUGAACCUGCCCCAGGGGCUUGUGGUGUAUACUGUGUCAAAGACCAAAUGAGGCAGCUAACAGCUUUUUGCUCAGAGAAGAGGCAGAGCUAGCAGGCUGGAUCCAGAUUUAGGUUGCAAUUUUAUUCUCAUUUACCUGGGAGUAAACCCCGCUGAAAUGAGUGGAACUUACUUCUGAGUUUAUGUUGUUAGGAUUCCAGCCUUAGUCAUGCUUAGGGUAGACACAUUGAAAUGAACUAGGUAUGUAAUGAUUAGGAAUGGGCAAAUCUGUCAGUUCUUUGAACUUCUCGUCCCCCCGCCCCAAUCUUCAGUUCAUUCCUCCACAUUUCCUCAUCAGUUUGCAAUGCUUUCUCAUAAAAAUUCUUAAGUGUUUGAAUUCCUCCUAAUAUUCACAUUUUUGUAUGCAGUUUUGCCUAACAAACGUAAAUUUUCAAAGAAAUUUCCCCCUAUACAAUACAUCUUUUAAAUGUUAUUUUCUCCAAUAUAUGCAUUAUUAUUCAAACUUUGUCCUAAUGUAUCCAUUUUUGCACACAGGAAAUCUCCGGAGAACUGGACUGCAUAAUUUGAAGGAGUGCAUAUAUUUCAAAGGGUGGCUGUGUUUUGGUUCCCGUAUUAUUUCAGGAUGUGCAAAUAAGGUAGGUUCUCUUUCAGUGUGAACUGAAUUGUAUUUUCCAUACCCUAUAAUGGUUAGGUCCCAUUGAUUUCAGUGGGUCUACCUUAAGCAUGGUGGUGUCUGGUUCCAAUGGAAUAGGUAAUAUCAGAGUAAGUAAUACUUACAUUGUCUAUCACCCAAUGUUUUUAAUAAGGCUGGAAAUCAUGGCACUUUUUAUUUUAAUCAAGCAGUCAACCUAGUAACAAACAUUGAGUCAAGUUAUUAAAUAACUCAUACAACAUGAAGUCAAUAGGUAAACUGUGUCAGUUUAUGUUGCACAUCACACCAAUCUCAGAAUGACGCAAUGUUCCAGGGACAUACCCAGGGUUUACAUUUCCUUUGGGAAUGAGGCAGAGCAGAGACUGUGGCGUCUUUUUUUUUUUAAAGAUAUUUAUUGAAAUUUUCAAAAUGUUACAAAAAAUAAAAAAAUAAAAUAGAAGCCGAAGAAAGUACAAAAAAUAAAAAUAGUUGACAAAGUAGGAAAAGAAAAGAAAAGAAAAGAAAAGAAAAGAAAAGAAAAGAAAAGAACAAACCCCUUCCCACCAUAUGAGAGAAAAUUCAAAAUAAGAGAAAAUGACAGAAAAAAAGAAAAAUACAAAAAUCACAAACCUUUAAAAAUAUUUAAAAAACAAAUUCAUUAUUUUCAAAUCCUUAACUGUCAUUGCCUUCUUUCUUAGACCUCCUCCUCCUCCCUUUCUUUGUAUCCUAGUUAUUAAUUAUCCCAGCAAAUCCUUUCCAUGUUUCAUAAAAUUCUGUCCUUGCAUUACCCUAAACUAUUUUGAUCUUAUCUUUCUAUAAUAAAAUAAACCUUAAAACUUAAAACUUAAAUCUUAUCCUUACCAACUUCUCAUAACCAUAAUAUUCUUUCAUAAUUCUUUAAACAUCUUUGCUAAAGCCAAGUAAUUUCAUUCCAACAUUUUUCUAUCAUUCAUCACUUUUAUAAAGCAGUUCUAAUGGUAGAAAAAAGGGGUACAAACAGAUCCACUCUUCAUCCAGCGUCCCUUCCUCCUGGUUCCGGGUUUUGUCAGUCCUUAUUCCCGUCAAUCUAGCCCAUUCACCUGGCAACCUUAUAUCCGAGGCCCUCAAGUCUCUUCCAUGUCCCUUCCGUGGCUCUUUUUCAUAUUUGUAACUGUAUUUUCCCUUGUCUCCUGCUCGUGGUAACUCCAGCUUGACAAUGUUUUUAGCCCUUCUCGACAAAUCAGCCCCUUUUCCAUGUUCAACACUAAAUUCCAUGUAGUAUUUAAAAGCAUGUUUCAAAGACCCUCCAAAAUUGAGAGCCCCCACAGUCCCAAACAUCUCACGGCCCGUUGCCAUAUUUGAAAAGUCCAAACGUCCCAGCAUAGGGUCAAUCCAGCCCCCCAUUUCCAAACCAAGCCAAACUUUUCCUUUCCAAAUCUGGCUUUUCCAAGUUCAUUUGUCAAAUCCGAAAAAUCAUAUUCCUGUUGGGCCUGUUCUGUCAAAACACACUCCUGAUUUAAUGUCAAAAACUCCUGUUCUGUCAAGACACUCUCCUGAUUUAAUUCCUGAGUGGGCUCCACAUAUUUUCCCACUGUCUGUUCAAAAUUUCCCACUGCCUGUUCAAAAUUUCUAGUCGAAGUCGCCAUCCAAUUCACCUUCUCGUGUAAUUGUUCCAGUAGGGCAUUUGUUUUAUAGAGAGCACACAACAAGGCUUCUGAAUACAUUGUCCUGCAAGGUCAGAUGCCUGUUCCCACGGUUGUAAUCUGUAACCGCUGCCGGCUCCCUGGAGUUAGUUACAGUUUCACAGUUACAGUUUCACAGACUCCCCCUAGGGGAAGACUUCUAUUUGUUCUUGCAACAAAGUUUCCUUUUUUAAGAUACUUUGUCCAUAUAUAUUCCUUUAAAAUGCGAAAGGGAACAGUGGAAUCACUAGGUUUCUCUUCUUUUAGCUAUCUGUCAGCGACACUUGUCUUUGGUAAAUGAACUUCAAACGUCAGUCCUGACACCCCGCUCCAGGAUCAGGACGGAGGAAAGUUACUUCACUUUAAAGUCACUUUAAACAGUCCAAAAAGAUCACCCCCUUCUCCUGCUGUCGAAGGGGGGUUCCACAAUUUUAAAUGGUGAAAUCCAAUCUUUUAAAAACGAUUUUCUGAGCUCUAGUUUCAAUUGUCUUUGCUUUAUUCUGUUUACAAAAGAACGGAAGGUUGACUUCCUGUUUAGACCUUUCCGUUCCGUACCAAAUUAGAGUAAAUUUUUAAAAUCCAAUUCUUUCCUGCUUGCAAGUCCUUAUUUGAUGUCCAAUUGUUCAAAGUCUACGUACUCACGGGUGCUUAUUUUAAAGUCCAAAUUGUCCCAGGAAAAAAGGCAGCGCUCUCCGGCAACGGCUAUGCGGCUUCACUCCACGGAAAUAGCAAUUGACUCACAGCACCGCGCCACUUCCCCCUCUUCACUUCGGAGCCCGUUAGUGGGUUCCUUAGCGGGUUGGGGGGGCGCUAAAGGUGCCCGCCGAGUCCCAUGGUCACAGGCUUCAUCCGCCUGUGAUUUUUAAGAGGGUCCCCGCUUCGCCGUAGCGGAGAAGACCCGUUUUCCGCGGAGCUAGUCCCCCAGUUCAGAGGGAGUCCGCCAUUGCCGGUGGCGCCACCCCGGAAGUCCUCCAGAGACUGUGGUGUCUUAAUGAUAUAUGGUUUACACAUAUAUACAACCUGAACCUGCAAUGGCGGGAUUCACAGCAUUAACACCCCAAGAGGGUCUUGCUUUUCCCAUGGCCACAGCUUUGGAUUCAAAUGGAAAUCAAACAUUGCUCUCAAAUGUUGCUUUGACUCUCUCUCCAGAUUGCUGCUUUACCUAGGUAACAUCACUGUAAACACUCAACUCUCACCUUUCUCUUUUUCUAACUACCAGCCAGUUGAAGGUGAUGGUGGUACCAGCUGUCUCACCCAGAUCCGCUUCCUUUGUUCCCUUAAUGGCCCACCACCCAGGCCAUCACCUCAACAGGAAGCUAGCCUGGCUAUUCCAAGAAUUAGAAGGGGGGGGAGGCAUUAGAAGGGUCUUGGCCUACAGCCUACUCCCACCACCCAAACUCAUAACAAUAAGCAAUCAAAUAAGCUACCCAUACAGUCAGCAAAGUAAACCAGUCCCAACAUGUUUGGGCUUGCAGUUAUUACUCAUAGCAUGUUAAGACUCUUCUGUUGUCUCCUUCAUCUGUGUUUUGUUACACCAAAUUCUUUCCCAGGUGCCUUCAGGUUCACUGACCCAGUUUUCUCAAUAAUAACUAAUAGACCCUGUUCAAUGUGGCUUCUUCUUUGAUGCAAGCAGCACCUUGAAUUAAGGCUGUGAGAGAAGAGAUGAAAGGUCAACAAAGGUUGCUCCUGAUUUGUUCCAUGCCAGUUUGUCCCUGUGGUCCAGUAGAAGCUAAUGCCUUGGUUUCCCCUUUGCUCACUCACUAAGACAAUGGAGCAACAGAGCACUUGUGAAGAAGGGAUGUGCCCGCUGUUCUCUGGCCAGAUAGAUAGCACUUUGAUAUUUGGAUCAAAAGUCUUGCUUUCAAGGGGACAGAAGUUAUUUCCCGGGGAGGGGGGGAGAGGAGAGAGAAGCCUAAAUGGAGAGAGAUUUCACCUAUGUCCAAUCCUGUUCUGUGUCAUUGUCUCCUGUAUCUGCUUUAGCACUAUUCUAGCCCAUUAAUGACAACACUGUAAAUAAGAUAACAACACAGUGCCAUGUAGCUGGCUAGCCAGAUUUGGUUGUGUGAUGAGACUGGUGGCAAAUAAAGUCCACCAUGAAUGAUGGCAGUGCUUCCUGGAUCAGUCCUAUGCAGCCAACUAGAAAUCAUACAGGAUGGUGCCACAACUAUUUGCAAUGUCACUGAAGGCAAACAAAGUGCAUUCAGACAAUGCUUCCUGAAUAUGAAACUAGUUUUGAUCAUUAUGGCAGCUGUGGAGAGGCAGCUGGACUGGACAAACUGGAAGCAAUGCCUGUUUAUGCAGUAUGACUUACUGGUUCAUGUACAGAUGAUUACUGCCCACUCCCCUACAUGCUUAUUCAUUUUGAAGAUGCACAUGUGGUGGAGCAUAUUUGCUUUCUGUUUGUGCAGAGUAGGACCCAUUCCAACAAGUUCAAAUGAUAAGAAAGGAGAUUUCAGCUAAAGAUUAGGAUGGUAUGAGCUGUUUAACAGUGAAGCAAUCUGUGUCAAAAGGAGACAGAACUUUUUAAGCAGACCACUGAUGACCACCUCUCGGUGAUUUAGUAGCGGUGGCUUUUCUGCCUAGGUGGGUGCUGGACUAGAUGACUUUUGAGGCUCCUUCCAACUCUAUGCAUCUAUGAUUGUACUGGGAAAUACUCCUUAACUACAGCAUGCAAUUUGUAGCUUAUUUCCAAACUGUAAAUUGGAUGAUUUUUAGUGUCAAUCUUAUGUUGUAUUUAUUGUAUCUCUUGCAUACCUCCUAUAUAUCUCUUUUAUCGCUUUAGUUGAAGGGCAUUUUAAAAAUAUAACAAAUGAAAAGUAGUCUGUCAUACUUGCUCAGGACUCUUUUUCUUUUUCUGUUUAGGUUAGGGUCCUUUGGUCACCAUCUCCCUUUGCCAUAAUGCCCUUGUGUGACUUAAAUUAUCUGCACUUGGACAGCGGAAUUCUAUCUGUCUUUUACUAAAAAAAAAACAACCUCCACUGAGUUAUGUGACACUUCUAAGAAAAGAUGCUUCUGACUAUAGCCAGAGAGCUCAUGGUCCAUAGCAUCUGUAAAGAUAGAUAGAUAAAAAUCCUGCACAUAAGAGUCAUGAUAUCUUUAUAAAACCCUUUGCAAAAAUUGACUCUGUUCACAGCUAGGAGUCAGGGACAUGUCACAACAGCAUAGGAAUUUGCUGUUAUUUCUGUGGCAUGUUGUUUUCCUCUGUUCUCUGUUCCCUUCACUCCUGGCUUUUGUACAACACCCAGGUCCAUGUCUCUGAACAUCUGAUCAACUGUAGUACUUCUUAGUCACGCACAGUUUCUUAUAGAAUGGGAAGCUUGCAUGGCAGUCUGGAUAGGUUUGGCUAUUCCUCAUGGAUGAGCAUCCCUCUCUUUUUCCCCUCUGAUGCAUUGUGAGCAUAAUGUGUCCUGUCCUGCUGCCAAUACAUCCACAAUAGAUGGCACCACUUCUCUGCAUACAGAUGCGCAGGAAUAAUUCCUCCCCUGUUGCAAUUAUUUACUCAUUUCUUCUAAAUUCUUUUGCCUUCUUGCUCCCUGCCCCCAAGAGAAGAGAUGCAUUGGGAAUUGGACCUAUUGUGAUUUCUGAAAUGAAAUGGCCUGAUUUGCACUUCCCAGAGUCAUGUGUGGAUCAGGUCACAGCUCUCCAUGAGAUUCUGCACUUUUUCUGAAUGUUGCAACAUGAUUCUUAGAAAGAAAAGAUAGAUAUUUAAAUACCGGUAAUCCAAUGCAGAUAUAUAUAUAAUUUAAAAUCCCAAUGCAGAUCCAAGUGGAGAUGGGAAUGGGUUCAUGGUGCAAAUGUGUGAAAAUGACCAUUACUGCAAAUAGUAUCUGUCUAUCCCUGUUUAAUAUACAACAGAACUUAAUUUAAAUCACCUAGACAACUUGAGUUAUGAUCAUCACAGGGACUGGAUCCUCAUGCCUGGUCCUUCUGGCUUUUUAAGAUCUACACAUAUUGCCUUGCUGUACUGAGUCUACUCCCUUUCUUAGUGUUCUGCCCCUUCAUUUGCUUUGAUUUGCUAUCAAGUUAAAUGCAAAAAUAUAUCCUGAGGAGUUAGCACUGGGGAGAAGAGUGGCUGAUGAAAGCACUGUGCUCUGAUUUUUAAAAAAAAUAAUGAAAUGAAAUGGUACAAUUCAAACUUUGUACAAUUUAAAUAUUGUUUCAGAAAUGAAACUGUUUUCAUUAUGCAUGCACGUGAAGGGAUGGUGUGUGCCCUGAUGUGCAUAAUAAGCUUCAACAUAAUCAGUUUUAUCAUGUACUUGACAAAGUAGGCUUUAGUGCACAAUAGCUUGUGCCAUAGAACAUUUGAUACAUACUGUGUGCAUUUUCCCUAUGAGGAAAGGUUGCAGCAUUUGGGACUUUUUAGUUUAGAGAAAAGGUGAGUAAGAGGUGACAUGACAGAAGUCUAUAAAGUUAUGCAUGGCAUGGAGAAAGUGGCCAGAGAAAGAUUCUUUUCCUCCCUCUCAUAAUGCUAGGACUCGGGGACAUCCAAUGAAGCUGAAUGUUGGAAGUUUCAGGACCUAUAAAUGAAAGUACGUCUUUACGCAGUGCAUAGUUUAGCUACAGAGUUGGCUCUCACAGGACACAGUCAUGGCCAGCAAUCUAGAUGGCUUUAAUGGAGAAGUAGACAAAUUCAAGGAGAGUUCAAUCAGUGGCUACAAGCCAUGAUGGUUGUAUUCUGCCUACACAGUCAGAGCCAGUAGUGUUUCUGAAUGCCAGUUGCUGAGAACCAUGGCAGGACAGCGUGCUCUUGUCCUUGUGUCCUGCUUGCAUCCUUCCCACAAGCAUCCUUCUGGCCUCUACCAGAACAGGAUGCUGGACUAGAUGGACCAUUGGCCUGAUCCAGCAGGUUUUUCUUAUGUUCUUAUGAUAGGCAACAAAAAUAACCCCUCUUAAGCCACCUUCAGAACUUCUCCAAUCAUUUCAGUGAAUGUAUGGGAAUGAUAGUGAGAUUUUACUCACUACUCAUGCUCCUUGUUCACAGUUGGGUGAAGGUGGCCGAUAUGCAUAUAGAUGCUAUGGUUUCCACUUCAUUGGAGGUGGCCUUCAUGCAUCUGUUUAUAUGGCAGCCCCCUACAGGCUACCACUGAAUAUGUGGCCAUCAGGCUGCAUCAUCCAUGGAUGAGAUCCUUCUAUCCCUUCACAUGUUCAUUGAAUCCAUAGGCUGGGAAAUGACUUUCAUUGAACUUAGUGGGUCUGAAUGUUUAGGACUUCUCUCUUUGUCUGUUAGAUGCUGUUACUAUUUUUGCUGCAUGAGAACGUGGCUACUGUUUUGGAACUCAUGACAUUACUCAAGGCUCUUCUGUGUGUGAUUCCAAGCCAUACUCACAAAGGUAAAGUGAGAGUGCUUCUAAUAUUCUCUUCAAAAUAGAGAAUAUAUGCCUUUAUACGCCUGGAAAUGGAGGUGUUAUGUCUUCAUUUUUGCUCCCAUGAUGCUUUCUAUAUGGGUGUAAAUUGACUCAUGAUCUGCUCCCAGGGGCGGCUUUUGAGAAACUUGUGGGAUUUUAUCCAUACUCUAAUUGGUAAUCCUGCUUCUCCUUUUUGUGUUUAUUGUGCUUAGAUUAUCUGAUACAGUUCAAUGAAAAUCAGUUCAAUGAAAGCAUGACAUGCCCAAUUUGUCAGCUACAUUACCUCUCUCUGCUUCCUUUCUUGUCAAUGCAGCACCCAAGAUCAGAGUGAGUUUGCACUAGGGCUUUCUUUAUGUCUGAUCCUAUUAGUACUCAUUUUGAUAUAGUAGAGUUAUUCUCCAAAAUGGAAAUAAGGAGAGGGAAAGUAUUCACAUAAUAUAGAAAUGAUUUGAAAUCCAUUAGAGUGGAACAAAAACGUAGCUCAAGAGGAAAAUGGCAUGGAGAUGAAAAUUAAAAAUAAUAAUGAAACUGGAGUGUUGAGAGCCCACUAAAUCAUUCCCAAAAAUUUGUGUAAAAAGUGAAGGUUAUUGCAUAAUCUUCUGGGCUGGAUGAUGGGAAUGGAAUUGGCAUGUAACUCCCCAGUCACUGUAAAUUACAGUGAUCACUAUACUACAUUUUAUUUUAGCAGAAAUGCUGCAGAGUUCCUUAUUGGGUCUUGAUUGCUUUGCACCUGUGACUCCCUUAGUAGGCAAUGCAGAAGAACUAGCUCCAUGCAGAUUUCUGGAAUGCUUUUGUGAAAUACCUCCAUUCAUCAAGGGGGUUGUGAGAGAUACUGCAACACUUCUUCGUGUCUAGGCAUAUACUAUGAAAGGUACAAGAAAAACCUGUCUCCUAAUAUACUGCUGUAUGCUACCCACUUCCUUGAGUGAUGAGUGGUUCCAACGUAAGUACUACCUGGGUUUGGCUUCCUUUGAAGGAGAGAGAGGGAGAGAGAGAGAGAGAGAGAGAGAGAGAGAGAGCAUGCACACUAGUCUGGUUCAUUACAUUUUUUGUAGCAUUUCAGUUGUUGUUGUUUAGUCGUUUAGUUGUGUCCGACUCUUUGUGACCCCAUGGACCAGAGCACGCCAGGCACUGCUGUCUUCCACUGUCUCCCGCAGUUUGGUCAGACUCAUGUUUGUAGCUUCGAGAACAGUGUCCAACCAUCUCGUCCUCUGUCGUCCCCUUCUCCUUGUGCCCUCAAUCUUUCCCAACAUCAGGGUCUUUUCCAGGGAGUCUUCUCUUCUCAUGAGGUGGUCAAAGUAUUGGAGCCUCAACUUCAGGAUCUGUCCUUCCAGUGAGCACUCAGGGCUGAUUUCCUUAAGAAUGGAUACAUUUGAUCUUCUUGCAGUCCACGGGACAUUUCAGUAGUUACCUACAAAUAUGCAAAGCCUAGGCAAGCAACAUACACCCGUCCAAGACAACCAUAACAGCCAGAAGUCCUCUCUCUCUGACUCUCUGUCUGUCUGUUCCAAAUUGCAAGUUCUUGUUUCAUCUCUCUCUCUCCCCUGACUCCUCAUAGCUAGGAAAGUUCUUCAAUAUUGGUUCGGUAGGUUCCCAUUAUGAUGCAAACUGAGCAAACUCAUCCCUCUGCACUCUAGAAUGCUUCCCAGUGACUGCCAGUGAAUUACUUUCCUCAUCUGCCCUGCCCUACUUAAUUAUAAAAUGUAACCCAACCCAAUAGAAAAGCUUCUAUUAUUGUAGGAACAGUGUUGGGGAAGUGAAAAAACCUGCUUCUCUUGAUCAGUUUUGUUGACUGGCCAAACAAACAAACAAACAAACAAACCUAUCACCACCCCUAUUUGACCCAGAAGCAACCAACCUUUCCUACACUGCCUUUGCUAUGUGAGGGGUGUGUGAGAGAGUACCGCUGAGCAAAAUUCAAAGAGGGCUGGCAAAGGGGUGGACACCCUGUGACUGGUUUCUUACAAUCAACUACUUAUGUGCUACAGAAGUCUAGUGCUGGCAGGAAUUUCAAGGUAAUACAGCGUGAUUAGCUGUCCCAAAGCCAGAAUAGCUGCACAAUAUCCCCUUUUGGUUAACCUGUGUAAAUGAGCCUUAGUCGCAAAAAGUUCUCUUACUUAACAAUAACAUUCUGAAUCUUUGUUUAAAUUUGUUUUCUUUUAUAACACUCUGCAUUAAAAAGCGGGGUACAGAAGAAGCAGCCAAGCCCUCGUACUCUUUGAUUGAGCUAGAGAAGUCAGGGCUUCAAAUUAGAAUAAUUUUAGUGGCCAGAAACUCAGACAAUAGCAAGAGCAAUUUUCUUCAAAUUUUGCAGGCAAAUCUCGUUUGACUUCACAGCAAACCUGGCAAUUUUCAGGCCAAACCAAUUUGUGUCAUUUUUUCCCCCUGGCCAAAAUUACAGGGGUCUAAAAAUAGGGUUUAGAUUAUAAUGACAGUUUCUGCCUUUAACCUGUGAACAUGAAAUACAAGUCUCCAUUAUACUGCAGUUCUUGCUAAUUAAGUUGGGGGGGUAGCGACAGGGGAAGAAAGUCAAGUAAACCAUUAAAGCCGUAGUGUUGCCCUAAGUCAACUAUUCUGAGCUUUUUCCUGAGAGCUUUUUUUGGUCUCUCGAUACGAACUCAGAGAUAGGACUUUAAGUAGCGUCUAUGAAAUGUUUUUGAUCAUUGUCAUUCUGUCUUAUUGUCUUUGACAAAUGAUUGUGAUUUGGGGGGCACUUUUGUUCUCUUUGGGAGGGAGUCCUGCAGUGUGGAACAACUGAAUAGUAGUGGCAGGUUGAUUUUAGACCCUAGACUGCAAUAUGCUGCUAUACAAAGCUAUGGACUGAACCUUAAGCGUAACAACAAUUUUUUGUUCCUAUUGUGCUUUAGAGAAGCACCCACAGCCCAAAAUAAUUUUGCUCUUAAACAAAGCUUUCCGAUAAACUACAAACUUUUUGUAAAUGCUUCACAGAUAUGUUGGGGGCAGAACCCAAUAUUGAUUCCAACCCAUCUGAAGUAGUUUAUAUAGUUUAUAUUUGACUUCAGUUUAUAUAUGACUUCAUACAAAAAGAAUCCCAAAUAUAUUUACAGGGGCAACAACAAUGAAUAACCACUUAAACAGAAAGGAUUUAGAUGUAGUGUUGAAAUCUUAUCUGUUAUUUAAAUAUCCCAGUGUACUUUCCGAACUGUGUGUCACUAUAAUAAAACCAAUACUUCGUUGUAAAACCACAGCUGUUCAACAUGUGUUUUCUUAGCUGAGCUCAUGGUAAGUGACUCUUACCUGGUUUGGGGUGGAUGCUGGUUUCACCCCCCACCCCAGGAGCGGAAAAUCCUUUCCCUCACAACUAGCCAUUGGACGUCUUCACAACAGGACACAAUGGGUUCUGGGAUCACCCAGGCCCACUUCAUUCUGGUCCACUGUUGGAGAAUAAAAGCCUGCUGUGGGGAAGACUGUCAACACAGUUGGCGGAAAAGCAACCUGCCUGCCUCACAUGUUGCUUUUAGUUGAUUGGUAUAAUGACCUUGCUGUGGUUUAAAAAUGGUUGCCAUAUUUGGAGCCAGGAAGGAAUUUGCCUUCAAACACAUUGGACCUGUUUGGGGUUUCUGCCUUCCUCACAGCUAUUGUCACAUCUUUCGGCGAAUAAAGCAUUGGGUAAUCCUUAGUCUGGUUUCUGGGUCCAGGGUGAUUUGGGGCUUCGGCCUGACCUCAGGCAGGUGUUUUCUCAUGGUACCCUAGUAAAGCGGUCUGAAUGGAAGUUUCUGUCCUGAAGCCAGGCAUGGGGCAGAAGGGCCAUAGAAGCUCUUUUUUUUACCCAUAUGUGACUCUCUCUCUCUCUCUCUCUCUCACACACACACACACACACACAACAUACUCAUCCCCCAGAAUAGUAUUCCCGUACCUUGCUGUAGACAGCAUAACAACAUAUUCACAGGGCUUCAAUGACUCCAUACGGACAUAAAAAGAACCUGCUGGAUCAGGCCAAUGGCCCAUUUAGUUCAGCAUCCCCACCAUGGCUGAACAAAUGUCUGUGGAAAACCUGCAAUUGGUACGCAAGCAAGCAGUCUCCUCUCCUGCGGUUUACAGAAUCUCCUAUUCAGAAGCAUGCUGCCUUCCUAUGGAGGCAGAGCACAGCAACCAUGGCUGGUAGCCAUCAAUAGCCUUAUCUUCCAUGAAUCUGCCUAAUUCUCUUUUAAAGCUAUCCAAUUUGGCUUUCUAUCACCUGUCUGGAUUCUUUCAACAUGCAGCUUCAUUGGAUGUCCACAAUUUCUAGUUUUAUGAGAAACUAGAGCUUUCUCCAUGCCAUGCAUUUUAUUUUUUUUAUGCAGUUCUAUCAUGUCACCUUUUACUCGAUUUUUCUCUAAACUAAAAAAAUCCUACAAACCUUUCUCAUAGAGGAGUUGCUCUGUCUCCAUAUCAUUUUGGUUGCCCUUUUCCAAACCUCUUCCAACUCCAAUGUCCAUUUUGAAGUGAGAAGACCAGACAGGUACACAGGAUUCCAAAUGCGGCUACAUGGCAUUUACAUUGACAAUUUUGUUUUCCUUUCCUAAUGAUCCCUUGCAUGGAAUUUGCCCUUUUCACAAGUGAAAUGAUGAUUACUGCAUUACUGUACACUUGUUUACACUGAAUUGCCUUUGCCAUUUUACCGCCUAUGCACUGAGUCUCUUUAGAGCAUUUUAGAAUCUCUUUUUAACUAUCCUGAACAGUUUAGUAUCAUCAGAAAAUUGGGCCACUUCGCUGCUCACCCACAACUCUAGAUCAUUUAUGAACUAGUUAAAAAGCAACAUAUCCCUCUGUCCAUCCAUUCAGGGAACCAUCCCUUUAUUCCUGCUGUUUCCUAGUCCACAAGAGGACCCUCUCCUCUUAUUUCAUGACUGCUCAGCUUACUCAAGAGUCUUUGGUUUGGGGAUGUCAGCUGGGAAUCACUCCUUUGAAUUGUUUCAAACUAGAUAUGUUGAUCAAAAUGUUAUUUAUUGUAACUUUCUUUCAUGGCUGUCAUUGUGCAUUUAUCCAUUUUCACCGUAAUGACAUCUUCCUUUCUCUCUCCUCCUCUGGGUCUCAUUAUCUAAUUCAAAACUGGCAGGAUUCCUGCUUUAAUUGGAUGGUCUUGGCUGUGUUUCCUGGGCACUGAUACGCUGAUUCCAAGGUGAAGGAGUGGUGCCCUUGUAGUUGACAGCUGGGAUAGAUUUUCAGCAGUCGCUGUUUAGAAUUGUCACCUUGCAGCUGGGCCUUUGCCCAGACCUUGGACUGGAUAUUGAAUGCCAAGGACCCAGAAGCCAAGUUGCAGCCUUGCACUGUGAUCUGGAGUACAAGCUGGUAGCUGUCACUCUGAACAGACACUAACGGCUUCCUGCUGACAUCUUCUGUAGACCAUGGUGGCCAAUUGGGAGUGAAGUGUGUGUGACCAGUCAGCUAAUUAGAGAAAACAUUGCCUGCACACAAAUGAAGCCAUUGAUGGGAAGCCUCCACUGUAUAUGCACAGAACUUUUCUACAUGUCCAGGUUUUAUUAAGUGAGCAUUUGUUAUAAACUACAUUAAUAUCUAAAAUGAAAAGUCCUUAAAGCCUGCCUGGGCAUAUCACAUUUUCCCGGGAAGCUGAAAUCCACAAUGAGAGACACUUCUUUUAGUGCCAAGCGACAAACACUUUGCACAUGCUUAGACACAUUCUUCUUUGUCUGAUUUUUGUCAGUUCCAGCCUAAGCCCUAGCUCAUAUUAAGCCCUGAUUAUAAAUGAAUCUUUCCACUGGGCUUUGCCAAUGAAGGAAUCUUCUGAUUUUGUUGACUGUUUUAUCAUAAACUGAAUCCACAGAGUCUAUAAGCACCAAUAAACUUUUGUGCUUCCCCCUUUAUCUCUACAAUAUAUUUUCUUUUAAUAUUUACUAUGGACUAUUUUAUUACAGGUUAGAAAGAAAACUGGGAAUUAUCUGACAGAUAAAGAACAGAGAAGCGGCUGAACUCUAAAUUACGAACCAUAGCAAAUAACUGUUAUAAUCCAUUUGCGGUUUCCCACCCCACUCUUCCCCUCCUUCCUUCUCC
rnacentral:lncRNA from 1 species